rnacentral:lncRNA from 1 species
AAUUGCGGCUAUUAUUGUUUGGGGACCAAAGUGUCACCUGCCUCAUAGUUUGAGGACCAAAAGUGUAAUUUAGCUUUAUUUUAUCUAUCAACCCUUGGAACAGGCAUUAAUUUUCCUAUCUCAGCACUCUGUUGGAAGGUCUGCUGUUUUGCAGGCAACCUUGUUCUGUCAUUUGUGAUGCCUCUUGAUGUGAACGAAUGGCAGGUCGGAGCCUCUCUGUCCUUCUACUUUCUUUUCACUGUUGAUAUUUCUCAUGCUGACCGUCCAUAUGUCCUCAAUCCUCUUGCUGACUGUAUGCUUCAACCGGAAGGCCCUUACUGUUUCAUGCAAUAUUAAGGAAGUGUUUUUCCUUCGUUGUACUUGUCAAAGGAGGCUGUGAUGAUUGCCACUUGGGAAUGCACCUCAACUUCUUUAAUCCUUGCUUUGGAUUCUCGGCGGAGUGCAGAAGCUGACCAAAAUACUAGGUAUAAGAGAGUCAACUCAAACCUGAGACCUUGGUUGGGUUUUGACAGUUCGGGUGGGAUUUGAAUCUUUUUUUUUUUUUUAAUUUUAUAUUUUAGUCCUUUUACACCCCUUGAGAGGCCUUUACGUGGUUCAUUUGUGGGAUAGACGGCAUCUCAGUGGAUGGCUUUUGGCUGACAUGAUCACCUGGUGUAGGCUAUAAUUUUUCCUUUCUCAGCAGCUCAUAUAACCAACAUUAAGUACCUGUAGCAGGACUUAAAUUGGAAGGUCUACUGUCUUGGAUGCAACAUUUUGCUGUCGUGUCUUUAAGGUGCAGAAGAUUGCAAGAUCCCUUGCGAGAUGAUUAAGUGGCAAAUCUGAGCCUCCAUUUUCUUCUCCUACUUUCUUUUUAGCUAUUAGGAUUCGGUGGUACAUUAUUUAUUUUUCCCAUUUUUUCUUUUCCUCCUCUGGCCUUCUUACUGCAUGUAGAACCUAGGUGGGUUGUUUUCACAUAUUCCUUAUCUACUUCCUGAAAUGUGACACUCUACUUCAUGCUGGUUGAUGCUAAAUCAUUUAUCCUGUAUGUCUUCAGAUUUAGGCAACUUGUUAGUCUUUUAGAUUUUGAAAAGAACUAAAAACAGAUAAAGAUACGGAUGUUUGGCAUGUAUAUCUGUAUAUUUGUAUGCUGAUUCAAAUGUGGGUAUCCAACAUACUUGUAUAUCUACUUUUCCAUUUCUCUUCUUGAUGCCUUGUUGUUGUUGCUGCUGCUGCUGUUGUUAUUCUUGUUAUUAUUAUUACUGUUGUUAUUGUUAUUGUGGUCGCAAUGGUGGUGGUAGAGGUGGGUGGAGUAUCGCCUCUCCGUGUCACGCCCCGAAACCGCUAUCAAUUUGGUCCGGCUCGGGCGCGUCGAACAGACGCCGAACGGACAGAACCUCCCCUCCAUUCUAGGCUCAACAACAAGAUCAUGUACGUUUUUGUCGCCCAGGAUGACAUACAACAUACAUGAACAGUACGAAGCACCGCAAGUGCUACACAAUUAAGAGCAAGACACAAGUAAUAAAAUGAGUGGUAUAAAGAGAGUAACAUCUAGCUAUUACAUCCACAAGGCAUUCAACAUUUAGAUCCUUGAUUAUAUUUACGUCUCCAAAAUGAAUAUUCAUGAUAAUCUCCAAAAUACCCUAGCAAUCUCCCAAAAUACAUCAUAUGUCACGGGGUGCACGAGGGUACACUAAUGCAAGUGGAAGCUGCUAACUAUACCUAGGGCGCGAUGCUCUUACCACGAUCCUCUGCCGGUGCUCUCUCGCUAGGCCCUGCAACAAAGUGGGGUGAGAACUAUAUAAAUAUAGUUCCCAGUGGGUUCGGCCGCCGACUCCGCCGAUCUUCCCACUAGGUCUAAGCAGGCAUAAGCAGAUAGAUAUCUGUAACUGUAAUUGAUGCAUAUAGAAGGAAUUGCAAGAUUCUACUAUGCCUGGAGAACAAGAGUAAAUCACAUAGCCAUGUAAUCUCUAACAUGCUAUAAUAACUCUAUCAAGUAUACAUGCAAUUCUACUAUGCCCAGCAUGCUCAACAUACUCAAUAUGCUUACUAUGCUCAAUAUGCAUAAUUCUCUUGAGUUCAUCACCCAAUCAUCUGGCUAGCCCAAAGGCGCGCCCUCGACUCACAACUCAAAUCCGUCUAUGAAGGGGGACUCGAACCACUCGAGGGAUUGUCUGCGGGACCCCACAUAGGCUAUCCCUUGGGACCCCACAUAGGCUAUCUCAAUCGUUUCACGUGCCAAGACUCCGAAACUCGCACUACUUGUGCGGAGCGACCGCCACAAGCGCUGAACAGACUGUGUGAGUAUAAUCAAAUUCGUUUCCAACGAAGGUACCCGGUCACUACGACCUACAUGCACAAGUGUUCUUUUAACACUACGUUCUAAUGCCACUCGUCAAGUUGUUUACUUGGUAUACAUAUGACACUCGUCAAGUAUGUACUUGGUUCACAUGUCACUUGCCAUAAUGCAAUUGUCCCGACUAUACUAGUCAUAUAUCCGCUAUGCAAGAUCAAGUUAUUGUCUAACUUAUCUCUAUAGGGUUCUAUGUCACAAACUCAUUCUCAUGCACCCUAAGUUCACAUGCCAAGCCUACUAUGUCGCAAUACAAGGGAGCAUGCAAGAAUAGUAAAAGUAACAUCUAAAUACCCUAACAUGCAUGAUACUAUAUAUGUAGUAUGUUCAACAUAGAAAUACUUAGACAUAGGGAGAAGCCCAGUUGCUUCGGGAUGACACCCCCCACCUCUUGGUGAUGUCCUGAAGUUACGAUUCCGUUUCCAAGAUUUUUGGAAGCUUUCGCCGCAAGUUGCGGCAAUCUGUACCCUAACGGCUUCGUUCUUUAAUAUCUUCGCGUACGCUCGUCGUAUCGCCGAACCGAUUUCGCCAACGCGUCAGAAAAUCUAGCAAUUAGGUUUAUACAUGAUCAAUUUAGAUCAAAACCUCACAUAUCGAAAAAUUCUAUUUUUGAGCCCUAACAUGCAAUUACCCCCAAAUAAUCCAAAUUAAAUGGAGCAACAUGCUAAGAAUGCUCAUUAGAGGCUACUAGAAUACUUAAAGUUAAGGAUUAAGCCAAAUCCCAAAAGUUUACCAAAAUGUGAACGCCGAGACGGAAGCACGCCGCUCCAACGGGCGCACGAAAGCUCGAUCCGUCGCUCCCGACGCGUUCGCAAGCUCGUUCUCCGCCAACGCCGCGAAUUUGGGCGAAAGAUCUAGAGAGAUGAGAGAGUUAUUUAGAGAGAGAAAGUGAGGAUUUCUCUCACUACCACCAUGAACAUGUGCUUGUGGGGGUGGUGCUUGGCUGUGAAGAAGAAGCCAAGUCACUAGAAGCUUCUACUUAUAUAGUCAACACCCCAAUAUAGUCAACACCCCAAUAGUAGCAUACACUAUUCACUUCAGGCAGUUCGAAAUCUGAUAUCUUUCGCCGGAGCCCUCUGAAUAUCCGUUUGAGCUCAAAUUUGACAGUCAUGUUCGGAUUUGCUUAACUUAACGAAAGAAAUUUUAAUCUUUCAGUUUCGACCUCGUUUGGUCACCGAAAGCCGUACCGAACUGUAAUCUUUAUCAGAUCACUAUCGGAUUUUAUUUUUCACCUUCCGGAUGUCAGAAUGAUAUGAAACUUUAAAUCUAGCCUCAUAAAAAUAAUUUUGGCUUAUCCUCCAGUUUUCAGAAUUUUCUGACACUGCAUUUUCUGCUAAUUUAUCUGCCCCGUUUCACACAGAAAAUUCUAAAUCUUCUGUUUUCGCUCUGAUUUCAACACGGGUCAUUCCAGACUUAUAUUUUAUGUCUAUAAGUCCAAUAAAAUAGUAUCUCACACUAUUUUUAUUUAUAUUUAUUUUUAUAUUAAAAUUUCAGCAUAUUACAUCCCACCGUAACUUCAUAAUUUAAGAAGUUCGGUACCUUACAAUCCGCCCCUUCCUGAUGGGGGAAACCCACAAAAAUUUGCUUUUCGGGUUGACCAAGCCUUCAUUCUUGGUUCUGGUUCUAUAUAUAUAUAUAUAUACAUACAAACUGUUUGUAUAUAGAGGAAAAAAGAAAAAGAAAAAAGCAACAAAACCAAAUGAAGCCUUAUUAAGGUUUCAGUGGUAGGUGCAUGGCAUGGCAAUUUUGGAAGGCUCCGCUUUUCUGCGAGCAACCAGUUGUCCAUGUGUUGCCUUGCUUAGAUUUGCCGAAAUGGCUGAGAACAAACAAAUUGAAGCUUUCGAUGGGUCUCUUGGUUGUCAUCAACCACAAUACUGCUGCAUUACUGCUACUUUAGUGAGACCACCAUUUACUCAACAAAAUUGGCCUAUGAGACGAUUGCUACAAUCAAGAAAUUUUCGAGCCAGAAACUGCAAGUAUUAUAGUUUUGAGGACCAAAGUGUCAUCUGGAUCAUAGUUUGAGCACCAAAGUGCAAUUUAACCUUAUUUUAUCAAACGAACCAAGGAACAGGCAAUAAUUGUCCAUCUCACCUGCCUGUGGCAGUACUCAAUUGGAACUCAAUUGGAAGGUCUGUUGUUUUGCAGGCAACCUUGUUCCAUCAUUUAUCUUAAAGGUGCAUAAGAAUACACGAUGCCUCUUGAUAUGAUUGAAUGACAGGUCAGAGCCAACUUCUUUCAUACUCUCUUUUGUUAUACUUGUCAAAGGAGGCCGUGAUGAUUGCCACUGGGGAAUGCACCUCAGCUUCUUUAGUCCUUGCUUUUGAUUUUUCGUUGGAGUGCAGAAGCUGACCAAAAUACUAGGUAUAAGAGAGUCAACUCAAACCUGAGACCUUGGUUGGGUUUUGACAGUUCAGGUGGGAUUUGAAUCUGGUUUUUUUUGGUUAUUUUGGUUCUUUUACACCCCUUGAGACGCCUUUGCAUGGUUCAUUUGUUGGAUAGACAGCAUCUCAGUGGAUGGCUUUUGGCUGACAUGAUCACCUGGUGCAGGCUAUAAUUUUUCCUUUCUCAGCAGCUCAUAUGUGACCAACAUUAGGUACCUGUAGCAGGACUUAAAUUGGAAGGUCCACUGUCUUGGAUGCAACCUUUUGCUGUCGUGUCUUUAAGGUGCAGAAAAUUACAAGAUCCCUUGCGAGAUGAUUAAGCGGCAUAUCUGAGCCUCCGUUUUCUUCUCCUACUUUCUUUUUAGCUAUUAGGAUUUGGUGCUACAUUCUUUAUUUUUCCUUUUUUUUCUUUUCCUCCUCUGACCUUCUUACUGCAUGUAGAACCUAGGUGGGUUGUUUUCAAAUAUUCCUUAUCUACUUCCUGAAACAUGACACCAUACUUCAUGCUGGUUGAUGCUAAAUCAUUUAUCCUGUAUGUCUUCAGAUUUGAGGCAACGUGUUAGUCUUUCAGAUUUUGAAAAGAACUAAAAACGGAAUAAAGAUUCGGAUGUUUGGCAUAUAUAUCUGUAUACUUGUAUGCUGAUUCAAAUGUGGGUAUCCAACAUACAUGUGUAUCUACUUUUCCAUCUCUCUUCUUGAUGCCUUGUUGUUGAUGCUGCUGCUGCUGUUGUUAUUAUUAUUAUUAUUUUUGUUAUUAUUAUGGUCGCAGUGGUGGUGGUGGAGGUGGGUGGAGUCUAUCGUCUCUCCACCCCUUCCUAGGGAACCCACGAAACUUUUCUUUUCGGGGUUGACCAAGCCUUCAUUCUUGGUUCUGGUUAUAUACAUACAUACAAACAUUUUGUAUAUAGAGGAAAAAAGAAAAAGAAAGGAAAAAAAAAGCAACAAUAACAACGAUACCAAAUGAAGCCUUAAGGUUUCAGUAGUAGGUGCAUGGCAUGGUUAUUUUGGAAGGUUCUGCUUUUCUGAGAGCAACCAAUUUUCCAUGUGUUGUCUUGCUUAGACUUGCCGAAAUGGCUGAGAACAAACAAAUUGAAGCUUUCGCUGGGUAUCUUGGGAUGUCAUCAACCAUAAUACUGCUAUGGUAGUGAGACAUCACCAUUUACUCGACCAAAUUGGCCUGCGAGACGAUUGCAACAAUCAAGAAAGUUCAAGCCAGAAAUUGCCAGUAUUAUAUUUUUGAGGACCAAAUUGUCAUCUGCCUCAUAGUUUGAGCACCAAAAGUGUAAUUUAGCCUUAUUUUGUCUAACAAACCACAGACACAAAACAGGCAAUAAUUUUCCUAUUUCACCUAUGUAAUACACUGGAUCUUAGCAAAUUGCAAGAUUCGAGUGUUUGAUCUGUGUGUGGAGCCUUUCCACAGUUUUUGGAGGGUCGUUGAUAGUGUUCCGACCCCUGGCACGCACCCCGAGGAUGUUGGUUUGAGACUUGGCACCAAAAUUUCAAAAUUGAAAUUUUUAGUCAGCUCUCGGAUAGCCUGCAGCAGAGCUUGUACCGGAACAAGAUUGGUCUUGUACCGGUACAAGGUUGAUGGUUGUACCGGUACAGCCAUCGGGCUUGUACCGGUACAGAGCCGCAGACUCCGCAACCCGAGCCUCGGGUUUGCAUUUUCGCAGGGCUUGUACCGGUACAAGGGCCCGUGUACCGGUACAAGGUGGCUGAUUGUGUGCAGUUUGAUACUGCAGGGGGUUUUUCGCGAUUGUAGCCUAUCUAUAUCAGCCCCCACGCCUUUAGGGACUCUCCCUGAGCUGAGACCAGCAGGAGUUGAGGUAGGAGGAACUCUCUUCUUUCCUUUGCAUUUUUACUCCUUUUGCUUGGUUUUUAUUGGAUUUUCUCUCCUCUAUUUGCAUCUUGGUGGCUUCUCCACCAUUGUUGAUGGCUUAAAGCUUGGAGAGGAGCUAGUGGCCGCGGAGAUCUUCAACGUCACUUGGAUUGGAGCUAAGUUUGGAACUUCUUGAGAGGUCAGAGACUUGAUUUCUCCCUUUGAUCCUUGAUUUGAGGUUUUUGUGAGAUCAAACCCUAGAAAUGAAAAUUUAGGGUUUAUUUGGGCAUUUUCGUUUUAGGGCUUUUGAGGCUCAAUCUCUUGGAUUAGAGCCUUCCUCUAGGGUAGAUUGGAGGGGUUCUAACUCUCAUUUGGAGCUUGAGAGGAGAUCUUUGCAUUUGAGGUGAGUUUUCCUCACCUAUGCUUGCAUAGCUUAUAGAUUGAGCUUAGCAUCAUUCGUUUCAUUUAGGUGACACUUGUUUUCAUACCUCUAGGAUACUAGGAGGUUAGAGGACACCUUCGUCGGAGCAAACGAAGGGCUUCGUUUACCGUUGGUGGUUUUGACUUCAUGAAAACGGGGCGAAAUGGCCCCUAUGCCUCCUAAACUCUUCGUAAAGUAUUUUUAAAUUCAUUUCUAUGCUAAAUAGAAUUUAUAUGAAUUUUUGAGCACUUAAAAUGCAUGCCUUGUGUAUUAUGAAGAAUUUCACUAUAUAGUAGAGCUAUAUGAGUAGAAUGCAUGCAUACGGGAAAAGUGUUUAUUUUGCAAGUGGAAAAUACAUCUCUUAUGAGGAGUAUGACUUGGGACAUGUACUUUGGAACAUAGUUGCCAUGCUUGGACAUAGAGAACAAGAGUGUCAUCAAGGGGCACUUGAAACUAGUAAACUAUUAAAUUGCAAUAUAGAGACAUAUUGAUAGGCCACUACAUAUCUGCUAUAUUCCAUGUUAGAGACAUGAUGACAUAGAGAUAGGCCACUGAGAUACUUGAUAUAUAUUCCAUGUUGNUUUAGCCUUAUUUUGUCUAACAAACCACAGAACAGGCAAUAAUUUUCCUAUUUCACCUACCUGUGGCAGCACUCAAUUGGAACUCAAUUGGAUGGUCUGCUGUUUUGCAGGCAACCUUGUUCCAUCAUUUAUCUUAAAGGUGCAUAAGAAUACAUGAUGCCUGGAUAUGAUCGGAUGGCAGGUCAGAGCCUCUCUUUCCUUGUGCUUUCCUUUCAGCUAUUAAUAUUUCUCAUGCUGACUGUUCAUAUGUCCUCAUUCUGACCGUAUACUUCAAUCAGACCGGCGCUUAAUGUUUCAUUCAAUCUUAAGGAAGUGUUUCUCCUUCAUUUUACUUGUCAAAGGAGGCUGUGAUGAUUGCCAGUUGGGAAUGCACCUCAACUUCUUUUAUCCUCUCUAUUGAUUCUCGGUGGUGUAAAAGCUGAUCGAAAUACGGGAUAUAGGAGGCAAUAUAGUUAGCUCAAUCCUUAGAUCUUGGUUGUGUUUUGAUAAUUCGGGUGGGAUUUGAAUCCAGUUUGUUGGUUAGUUUUGUCAUUUUGCUUCCCUUGAGAGCCUUUCGCUUCGUUAAUUCGUGGGAUAGACAGCAUCUCAGUGGGUGGCUUUUGGCUGACAUGAUUCACCGGGUGCAGGCAAUAAUUAUUCCUUUCUCAGCAGCUCAUCAGGCCAACAGUAGCUCCUGUAGCAGUAGUUAAAUUGGAAGGUCUGCUGUCUUGCAGGCAACCUUAUGCUGUUCAUAUCUUUAAGGUGCAUAAGAUUACGAGAUCCCGAUCCCUCAUGAGGUGAUUGAAUGGCAAAUCCGAGCCUCCAUUUUAUUCUCCUAGUUCCUUCUUAGUUAUUAAGAUUUAGUGGUACAGUAAUUUUUUUGUAGCUAUUAAUAUUUAAUGGUACACAAUUUUUCUGUUUUAUCUUUAAUUUCUCAUCCUCUGGCUUUCUUACUGCAUGUAGAAUCUAGGAUGGGUUGUUUCAAACAUUCAUUAUCAAUCCCCUGAAACCCUACUUCGUGCUGGUAGAUGAUGACUAGAUAGAAGUUUGGGGGGUCUAUUUCAAAAUGGUCUAUAGUUGAGGGGAUCUUUAUCCUAUUUAUCCUCUCAAUAUAUCUGAUGGUGAAAAGGUGUUGAUAGUCCCUGUCGUGUCCCAAUACUGUCCCAAUAUUGUGACUUAGUCCUUGAACCUUUUCAAUAACACUCCUCUCUUUCAUCUUUCUUAUAUUCUUGGAAUUUCAUCUCUCCCAUCUCUUUGGUUCAUAUGUUGCAGGCAAAAUCUCUCAUUAGAACUCUGCAUUGUAAUUUAAUUACUAGAGAGGAUUGGCAGGCGCGUGAUCAGUAAUUAGAGGCAGCUCUGGAUGGUCUGCUGUUCUGCAGGCAACCUAGCUUGUACCCAUUUAUCCGGUCAUGGCUGGGGUGGAGGAGGUGGUGGUAGUGAUAAGGAUUGGAUGUAUGUGGGUUCAUAUGAUCCUCUUCUCUGAUUAGGGUAUCACCAUUGCUAUCUUCGCGGCACUCACUUAUUCUCUUGAUCAAAGUUCCUGUAAAGGAUAUCCUUCGUCAUUUACUUCUAUUUCGCAAUUCCUGUUCCUUGAUGUGUUUCGGUAUUUGUGGAAGUUUCUGUUGAUCAUCUUCAAGAGAUGCAGAAUAACCACUUUUGUGGAGUAAAGCUUCUCUCCGCGGUCUUCUGAGAUGUAUACCCAUGAAAUUUUGUGCCUCAGGGUUGAUGAAUGGCUAAAAAUCAAGCUUUUUGAUUUUGAUUGUGCAUUCUUCAUAUGGGUUUAAUUGGUCAGUUAGCUUGGUCCAUUGACACCUCUAAUCUGAGCCAUGCUUCAUUAAUUCAUGGGAUGGAUGACAUUGCCGUUGGUGGUGCAUGUCUGAUCUUGUGCACCGGGUACAGGCCAUAAUUUCUCCUAUCUCUGCAGUCCAUAAGGUCGGCGUUUUGGGGUUCACAUAGCAAUGCUCAAUUGAAAGGUCUGCAUUCUUGCAGGCAACCUUACAAAGUCAUUUGUCUUUAAGGUGCGUAAGACUACAUGAUGCCUCAUGAUAUGAUUGAAUGGCAGAUCUGAGCCUCCCUUUUCUUCUUGUUUCUUUUCAGCUAUUAGGAUUUAUUGUUGUCAUUUUCUUCUUCUCUGUGUUUGUUUCUGCAUGGAGAAGCUAGAUCAUCAAUUCCUAUUCCCUGUACUUUUCAGUGGUUGAUGAUCAGAUUUGAGUUGGUGACUUGGUCGGCUUAUUUCAAGAUGGCCUGUAGUUGAGGGGUCUUCAUACAUUUUACCUUUUUAAUAUGGGUUGGAAUAAGAAUCAGAUAUUAUUUUUCAUCCGAGGCUGGUGAUAUCGGUGACUUUAUCUGAGGAAUAAGAGCUAUUUAUAGUCCCUGUACUAUUCCGAUAUUGUAAUUUGGUCCAAACUACAUCUCCACAACCUUCACUUCGGCACAGGUGUAGUUUCCUAUUAGACCUCUGCAGUGUAAUUCAACCACUACAGAGGUUCCAAGUGUGAUCUAGCAAUGGUGAGGCAGCUAUGGAUGGUCUGCCUUUCCGCAGGCAACCUAGCUGGACCCCUUAAAUCUAAUCAUGAUCUGCCAUGAAGAUAGCAUGCCAGUGUAGCUUCAUCUUUAAGACUCUUCCUCUGUUGAAAGUUUGGAGUGCCAUCUUCGUGGUACAUUUGUUCUCUUGAUCCUGUUAAGAAUACUAGUCCCAUAUUCGAUACUUAAGCUUUUUGGAUUGGUCCGAGACUUUUGGCAUAUCCAACUUCUAGCGAGGGAUAUUUUUAUCUUUUUUUUUUUUUUCAAUUAUUCCAUCUGUCCUUCCUGAUGCCUUUGAUUAUUUGGAGAAGGCGGUAAUGAUUUCUAGCAUGUUGCACAUGAGCUUUCUUCCAAAAUGUUAUGAUUAUUCUAUCCCAGGCUGUAGAAUAUUGAUUUUGCCAAUUGGACGUAGUGGAGGAUGCCGGUCAGCGCGUGUGCGGAGCCUAAAUGAGGUGAAAACGUUUUGGCGCGAAAUGGACGCAAAAACGAAUGAAUAGGGUCAAUCUCUUAUUAUGGAGGACCAAAUCGCAAAUAGACAAAGUUUCGGGCUAAGUUGCAAAAAGGGCAACUUAGUGGAAUUCCACUAAGAGCUCUUAACCUUAUUUUACUGUUCUUUCACUAUUCUGGCCUCCAGUAGACCUAAUGGGAAGAUCGUGGUUAUCGUCGACCGUAUCCACUGGGAACUACUGUUUAGUAGUUCUCACAUCCUUUUGUGGUUUACUUUUGAGGGGUAGGUAUACUGACGGCUGAUCGAGGUGAGGGGGAUCGCGCAGUAGAUACCAUCUCCUACCAGCAUGCCUAGACAUGAGUGGACUACUAGAUAGAGUGCUACUCUGUACUACAUGCAUGUACUGGUGAGGGCCAGGGCUUUUUUUCUUGUACUUUUCUUUUGGGGUUGAGUUUUAUUUGAUAUAGUACAUGAUGUACAGUAGUUUAGUUUGUAGAUAGCGCUCUGAUACUUGUCGUUUGCUUAUUCUGUACUUCAUGUUGAUUCCUGUGUUGUGGAAACUUCUCUAGUGUGACCUCUUGGAAUCCUUUGUCCUGUUCAGUUAUGUUGACGUUUCGUUCAGGCAGGAAAAAACUCUGUUCGUUCGGCGAGUCUGUUGACGUCCCCAUAGGCUUCCGCUGUGGACUUGGGGCGUGACACAGGCUUCCUGAGAUUCAAAGUUUGAAACCCUUGAAAUACUGCUUUAGGUUUCAAAUCUUGGAAGGCUCUGCUUUUCCAGCAGGCAACCAGUUUUGCAUUCAGGGUUCAACCCGUUUUUUCGAAAUUUUUUUUUUUUUUCCCAUAUUAUAUCAUUUCUGACAAAAAGGUUGUAUCCAGUAUUUGAUUUGUGUCCCCAGCUAAGCACUCAUGGUUUCCAACACUGCUCUCCGUUGAAUGUUUGUAUUUGAAUUUGUACUUGGAGAAGUAUGGAAAUAGUCAGUUGCUAUCUGAACAAUAUCCGACCCAUUUUCAUCCCUAGUUAUGUGACAGGUAGUGAUCCUAGUAGAGUCUAGAGACACUGAAGAAGAGAUAUAGUCGUUUCUCACCCUCUAUCAGCGUCUAGAGAGUCUAGAGAGUAAGAGGGAAUCGUUAUCCUGAAAUUUCUUUCCUAAUGUCCAUAUCAGUGUCUCUUUACGUUUUAAUCUUUCUGCUGUGGAAAUCUUAUUUUAGAUUGCUUUACUUCGCUUUCUCGUAUGUCCUGCAUCUAGGUAAUCUUCUUAAUCUAUGUUGUUAGAGCCUUCUUGACUGUCUCUUCUCUCUCUACUUGGGUUCAUCCAUUAACCAGAUAGAAUUGUCCUCUUCUUUUUCUGCAGAAUGUGUUUACCUAAACUAUGAACAAAUGAUAUACAUUUUUUUGUUUUUUCAAUUGACCUCUGAAUAUUGACUUGGUUUCUUUGAUUAAUUAGUUAGUUCACUGCAGUCGGCUUUUUUUUUUUUUUUUUUUUUUUUUUUUUUUUUUUUGGUUUUUGGUUUAUACAUUCUGUUUCCAGCAUAUUUUUUAUAUUAAUGGCUUUACUGUUUACUGUUUUCUGAAUUAGUAUUUUGCAGUUGACAUUUCUCUCGUAUUCCCGUUUCUUUUUAUUAUUUUUGUUAUUAUUGUACCGUUUUGUGUUCUUUCAACAUGCUUGUACAUCUUUCUUCUCUUAUUCUUCUAAUCCCUAGCUACCAUUUUACCAUUGAACCCUGAAUUCUAAACCCUUGGGACAUUGUUUGGUUCAUAAGUGGAGUGAGAAUGGAAAAUAGAAUGACAAACCAUCAACGAAUGUUUGAUUCAUUAUUGACCAAAAUAGUUGUAUAAUUAGGAGGUUCACUUAGAGAGCGGGGGUGUACCGAGUUAUUUAAUAAAAUAUAGUAGAGGACCUACUCGGCAAAAAUAAUAGUUUACGCAGUUAUUUGCAAAAUAACUAAAUUUUAAUUUUUAGGAUGUCUCUGAACAUUUUUUUUUCCUUUAUGAUUUUUUUUUUUUGGCAAUGUUAACUCUACAACGCACCCGUUUUAGACUGUAGAUCUUAUAACUAGAUUAUCCAAAAAGAUAAUCAACUUUGUGCCCUUAAAAAAGAGCUAAUUUCCUCUGUAGCUUUAAAAAAUUAAUAAUUUUUCAUUUACCUUUUAUUUCGAAAAUAUACUCCCGAAAAGAAAAAUUUACAUGCUCCUUUAAAUAUUUGAAAGAAGGAUCAGGUAAAUAUGAAAUUAAUUUUGUAUUGAGGCGUAUAUGAGUAGUGAUAUUAAUGAACACUAAUGUGAUAAUUUUUGUUGAAUUAAUGUUAAAAGUUAAUUAAAAUAAAUAUUACAGAAAAGAAGUUUAGGAGAAAAACCAAAAAUAGGAAAUUACUCCAAAAAUCUCAAAGAAGGAAAAGGAAGGUAAGGAUGUUGUUUCAAAAUAGCUAUUAUUGAGGAGUCUCGACGCUUUUUUGUAUUUGAAAUCAAUGAUUUAAGUGUCUUGGCACGGGAUCGUGCGGAAAUUUGCCGGCACGAUAUGUGCCGAGCCGUGCCGAUGCGUGUCGGUCAAAAAAAUUCUUGCAUGCCGACACAUGGCAACAUGAAAUAUUUAUUUUCUUUAGUAACAAAAUAUUUUAACUAUUUAUUAUAUUUUUUUAUCACAUCUUUUGAACUUUAUUGAGGAAAUUAUUUACUAAUUUAAAGAAUAUAGGGUUUUUAGCUGUGCCAUCGGCACGGGAUCUGUAUCGUGCCGGUAUCUUGUUGGUGCGAUAUGGCACGGUGGAAACGGCCCGUGCCGACGGGUACUUAAAAUCUAGUUCGAAAUGCUGAGUGCACAUGCGGUUGUUACAAAUUAUUUAUAAUUACAAUGUUUUCCACUAUAUCUAAUUAAACAAAUUAUCUAUAUCUAUAUCUCUAUACUUAUACAUUAUUUUCCAUAUAGUCUUGCCACGUAGCGGUCCCUUCUUUAUCUUACCUUCUCCUCUCUUCUCUAAUCACAAUUGUUUCAGCCGCACAAAACCUUUGAUCUUCCAAUCAAUGAACGAUCUUAAACCCACACUCUUCGUUUCCCCACUAAGGAGUUACUAACGCAUUAUUAACUUUAAUAAUUAAUAAUUACGAUGAUCCGCACAAUUAGCACCACUAAAACCCCAUCAUCAUCAUCUCCUCUUUCUCGGAAUCAAAUAUCACACUCUAACAAUGUCCUAUGUUAUAAACCAACUUUUCUAUCUAUUAUUCUUAUUAUUAUUCUCGAACGCGAGGACGAACCCGUCAACGCCAUUCGGGUCGAGCCAUGAUUGUUCAGGCACAUUGUUUGGGUUCAGCGUAUGCUUGGAGUUAGUGGAGGGCGGGGCGAACGGGUCCAAAUCGGGGUUGCUGCUCUGGGUUCGGUCACGUGCUGAGUCGGAGUGUCACGUGCCUCUGUGAGGCCAUACGAGAUAGGCGUACCCGUGAACGUCACCAAAGCUCUCGCUUUGCCCUUGCUUUGUGGGCUCUCCUACACGCCAAUUGUCCUCUGUUACAAAACUAAGAGGUGUAUUUUUUUUUUAUGGUCCAAUUUCACCUGUACAAAUUGCUUUCAUAAGAAAAAAUAAGUAAAAUAAAAUUUUUUUGUACUCUUUUUUUCCCUUUUUUUGGCGCAUAAGAAUGGUUUAUAUUUUGUAAUUUUUUUAAUUUUUUUUAUCUUUUUGUUUUUAAAUUGUAUGUGUACUGAAAUUAGGGUUUUGUGGAUUGUAGAGCAGCAAAGAUAGAUUUGGAGUCAACGAGAGAAAAGAAGUGGAAUCAACGUGGCUGUGACGAAAAGGAGCUCGACAUUGAUAAUGGCGACAAAGGUAAUGUGGAGAUGGGGAUUCGUCUUCCCGAUGUCGGUAGUGAAAUCAAGAUACGUAUGGAGUAAUAAUUCUAUUGCUGCUUCUUUCAUUACUAUUUUUUAUAACUUAUUUAAUGAAAUUAUAAAUUUUGUUACAUUUGUACGUAUAUCUGUUUCAUCUCUUUUAUUUGUAUAUAUGUUAAUAUAUAUUAUUUUUAUUUAUUAAUGUCUUAUGACAAUUCAAAAAAUUUAAAAUUUUUACUUUAUGAAUUUUUUGUCUUUCUAUAGCAUCAAUCCGCCGCAAUGCACGGAUAAUUUCACUAGUAUAUACUUAUAACUGCGGCAUGAGUUGUAAAUCUUAUAUUUCACGAUUUAAAGGCUAAUUGUUACACACUAGUUAUAUCGACAUAAUUUGAUAUAGCUAAUAUGCAGCAUGUAACUCUUAUAAUGAGAUGUAAAAUGUAUACCCAGCUUUUGAGUUUACAGAUUUGUUUGUUAAUUCGCGAAUUAUUCACGAAUUAUUAAAAAUUCAAAUUAAACGGUCCGUUUACGAAUUUUUUUCAAAAAAAAAAAUUAUUAGCGAAUUUUUUGGCCAGCCGAAUAAUUCGCAAAUUAUUUUCGAAUUAUUGAAAAUUUAAAUAAAAAACUUAUAAUUUUUAUGUUUAAAUAUAGAUUAUCUUAUAUUUUAUAUAAAUAUGAGUUCUCUGUUCAUUCUCCCCCCCAAAAAAAAUAUUUAUAUAUAUUUUAUAAUUAAUAAUGGGCUAUUUUAAUCUAUUUCUUGCUUGAUUGUUUAUAUACCAUAGUGUAUAAUAUAAUUCUCUAUAGUUUUUUUUUUUAUUUAAUCUACUUUAUUUUGUAGCUUUUUAUUCUUAGAAUUGUAAAUGUUUACAAUAGUAGUAUAAAUCUAGAAAAAAAAUUGAAGUUUAAUAGGCAAAUUUUUUAUCCCGAAUUUUUAAUUGAUGAACGUAUAAUUUUCGUAUAAAUCACGUAUCCGAAUAAUUACCAAAUCCAUUUUUUAAGUCGAAUUUUUUAACAAAUUAAAAAAAUUAAAAAACGAAUUUUAUACGUAUUAUAACCGUACCGAAUUUUUUCCGAAUCCGAAUUAACUAACUAUGGUUUAAAGGUAGCAAUGCUCUUUUCAUACAUCCUACUUUCGUUUGAUUUAGCCCAUUUUCUAGUAAUACAAUAAAUCCUUCUAGAAAAUAACUUGGAACUAUAUUACAUUUUAAGAGAGUCUGAGACUUAUGCUGGGUUUAUUCCGAAAAAGUUAAAUUGGAGGUUUGGGUUUCAAAACUAUUGAACCUUCUUUUCAAAACAACUUAGAAUAUUUUAGGUAAAGAUAAUACUCUUGUUUUUGAAUUUACAAUAUCAUGUUUUCAUUCUUUAGAAUUUUUUUUUUCAUCGGUCAACUUUGUUUAUUUAAUGUACCCAAAAAUAAUCUUUGAAAAAUAUAAAAUAUGGUAUGUCAUAUUUGACAGUUGUUGACAUGAACGCAUUCUUAAUUGAAAACGAGUUUAUUUCAGUUCAUUAAAAAUUGCUCAAUCUUACAAUCUUUGUGUUAUUCUAUCAUGAAUUCAACUUUGGAGUUAUUUUAUCAUGAGAUUGUUCUGAUUAACUUUUGCUUUUAUUGUUAUCCAUAUUAAUAUUCACAUUUAUUAAUUUCCUCUAUGAAAGUCUUAGAAAAGAGAAAUUUCGCACUUUCUUUACUCUGAGACAUUUUAUUUAGAUAUUUACAAGCAAAUAUACAUUAAGGGUGUGUUUGGUUCGCAUUAUGAAAGAUAACUAGGAAUAAAAGAUAUCCUAGAAUUUUAUUCCUAUUCAUCCUAUUACUAAGAAUGUGGAAUUCAUGUGUUUGGUUUGCACGGUAAUAUUAAUUAGCCAUAUUAUUUAAUAUUACAAAAAAUAUACAAUUUAUUUAUUUAUUUAUUUAUUUAAUUUUAGAUAAUGUUACCAAAAAUUUCAACAUCUUUUUAGAAAAAAAGAAGAGAGAGUAUAAAUUAGAGAGAGAGCGCAUAAUUAAAAAAAUAGAAAGAAAAAUAUAGUCGAAAUUAGAGGAAGUGAGAGAGUUGAAAUUUUAGAAAAAGAGAGAGAGAGCAAGCUUAGUUUAGAGAGAGAAAAAAAAGUUGAAUUUUAGAGAGAAAAAUAAGUUUAGAGAGAGAUAUAAUGUUAGAGUAUAAAAAAAAAUAAUAUCAAUUAGCCGGCGGAUAGGAAGAAAGAAAGAGAUUAGACAUAUUAUGAUUACCUCAAUCCAUUAAUAAAAGGAUAUCCAUCCUCCUCAAGGGAAUGAGAUUAGUACUUUGGGGUGAAUCUUAUUCCUAAGUGAAUCCAAUAUUACCAACUAGAUUACUUAGUGCGUUUAGCCAAACACUGUCAUAUUUUUUUAUUCCCAUUGGAUUACUAGGAAUCUUUAAAACAUAGCGCGAACCAAACGCACCCUAAGAUUAUUGCACUAACAUUGGGUACAUUAAACUUGAUAGAAUACUUUUCUACUACUUUACUCUUAGAACUAGUUGAAAUCUAAUUGACCAAAUCCUAAUUGUUUUAGAUUGAUGGGCCUGGUUGCAAUUCAAAUAAAUUUGUAGAAUACUUUUGUUUAUUUUAUGUCCUGCUCUGAUGGGAUAUUUACUAGUGAUGUGCAACAAUUUUGGAAUAUCUAACUACAACUAUGGAUUCAGACUGACUUGUGUCCAGUUAUGGGUCAGAACUGUUUUGGGUUUUGAUUUUGUGUCUAACUAUGUAUCAAAACUUAACUGGGUCUUAGCUUUAGAUCUGAUUUUUGAGUCUAAUUAUGGGUCAAAACUAAAUUUGCCUUUGAUUUCUGAUCUACUUAUGGAUCAGAAUAAAUUAUAAUUACAUCUAAUUAAGAUUUGAAUGAUUCUAAUAAACGGCCAGAACUGAAAAAGCACUAGUUAUGAGUCUAAUUAGUUAGAGAUUUUACUUAAUGAGAAUCCUAUUUUGCUAAAACUAAGUUAGUGUUUUUCACCUUCUUUAUUCGAAUAAUAAGAUUAUUCUCUAUGAUUUGAAAGCCUAUAUAUUAGCAAAUUAAACAAAGAAAUAAAAAAUUAUAUAAAACAUUACAUAUAAUAAUAAAAUUCUUUCACAUCAAUAUAUAUUGUUUAAAACAAAUUUCACAUACAAAUAAUAUACUAAAUAUGCAUAUUCCACAAAUUAAAAAAACUAAUUAUUUUCAACUACGUAUGCGCCAAUUGCUAUUGCCAUGCGACUCAAAAGUUCGCGCUUUACUUUUGCAUAGCCGUCCGUUCCCCAAUGACUACCCCAAGAGUUUUUUAUCAAAUAAUAUUUGACGUCGUUUUCUACACCGUAUCCAACUAUAGUCACGGAGUGGCUCCCUCGUUUUUUUUCUCCAACAUGAGGACCCAUAUACACAACCUACAUGGAAAAAAAAAAUAGUCAUUAUCAAAUUAAAAAAAGGUCAUUAUCAAAUAUUAUAUUAUCAAAAGUUAAUUAAAAUUUAUAAGUAUUAGCAUAUAAAAAAUUAUUCAUUAUUAAAUAUUAUAUAUCAAAACUUAAAUUUAUAAAUACUAACAUCUCUCGGUAGAUGAGUAAAGCUGUUAUAUAUGUUUAUGGCAGCAGCAAUAGGUCGUUCUCUCAAAAUUUCUUCGAUUUCUCCCUCAUUAUGUCUUCUUUCCAAUUUGCUCUGAAAAUCUUGAAUCUUCACUCUCUGCUUCUUCUGUAAAAAAUAUUUAAAAUUAUCCAAUAAUUAAUAGAUGUAUUAAUACUAAAUAAGUUUUUUUAGUGUAUAAGUUAACUUACAUCUUCAUUCAUUUGACAAUAUUGGCGUCGUGCAACAUAUGGAUUAUCAGCUUCCAUGGCAAUACCAUAUGUUUUGAUGUACUCUAAACACUUGCUAUGUGUGCACUGUAUACAUCCAACGGCGUCUAUAUGUUGUUCACGGGAAGAUGGAUACAUUUCAUGAUAACAGUUUACUAGCUCUUGUUUUGAUAAUUCAAUGAGUUGACCAUACUUUUUUGCAUAUUCUGCUUCAACUAAAGUGGUGGAAGAAAAGGCAUAGCAACAUUCUUCGUAUAAUUCAUUAAAGAAAAAAAACAUUAGUUAAUAAAACAAUAAUGAAUUGUAUUAAUCUCUACAAAAAAUCAUUCUAUUAAGUAUACUUACGACACUCUCUUUGAUUUCCUACGUCCUCCCGAAUUAUAUUAAUUGGCUUGUCGUAAAUCAAAAGAUGCCUAUCAUAUUAAAACAAAGAUAUGAAAAUGAGAAUUAAGAAAAUAAGUAAUUUCUAUAUAUCAAAUAAAAAGUAUAAUCUAUGAUAAUUUUUGUUAUUUGAUAACUUUUUUAUUGGAAAAUUAGGAUAUUCGCUUAUUUUAACGAACUUAGUUUAUUUUACAAAAUUCAUUUGCAAAUAGCUCGAGGUAAAUUAAUUAAAGAAAAUUUAGUAGAAUUAAAAUUAUUAAAAUAUUAGUUGGUAAAUCAAAACUUAAACUAGAUUAAAACUAAUCCUAUUUUAAAUAGGUUUCAUAUAUAUAUAUAUAUAGCUAACGACUCAAAAUUCUUUUGAGUUAUUACCAUGUUAGUGUGGGUUGCGAGGUGGAGUUAGAAACAGACCCAAUAAAAAUAAUCUUAUCUAUCAAAAAAAUGCACUAUAUAAUUUACAAAGUGCAUGGUUAUGUGGGAGUGAGAUUCUCUUCUCACACUUUCAUUGGAUAAAAAUGUGUGAAAGUACUAUUAUACAUGAGAUUUGCAUUGAUACUUUGGCAGCCAGACUAACUAAAUUUAAAUUAUAUUAAUUACCUAAGGUCUCGUUUGGCAUGCAUUGUUGCUGGUUAUAAGAUUAUCAAGAAAAUGCACUUUGUGAUUUACAAAGUAGUUCAAUGUGGGAGAGAGGUUCUCUUCUCACACUUUUAUUGGAUAAAAAUGUGUGAAGUACUAUUAUACAUGAGAUUUGCAUUGAUACUUUAGUGACAAACUAAUGAAACUUAAAUUAAUUAAUUAAGUAAGGUCUUGUUUGGCAUGAAUUGUUGCUUCUCGUUUGGCAUGCAUUAAUUUGUUGCUAGUUUUUACUUUCUUAAAUAUAUAAAAAUUUUAUGUCAAAAACUAUAAGAUUAAAUGAUGUACUACAUGUAUAUGACUUUUGCAUUGCAAGUUAAACAAAUCAUGAUAAGAAAAGAAAAAUCAUCCUACAGAAAUCAAAUUAAGCAUAUGAAAAUAUAUUGUGUUUGAAAAAAAAAAUUAAAAUAAUAUAAAAUAAAAUCUAAAAUAUUUUACUAUAUGCACCGUCUAAUUGAGUAGCUGAUAAAAUUUAAAGAUAACAAUUUAUCACUACUCUAUAAAAAAAUAAAUAUUUUGAAGAAAAUGUGUAUAAUACUAGCAUUCACGUACGGGAUUUGCAUGGGACCAUGGGUACUUCUCCCACCGUCUAAAUUUGAGUAACUAGAGAUAACUAAAGAAUACACAUGCACGUUAACUACUUAGCUUGAGUUAAUUGAGUGAGCUAUUUUUACGUAUUAGCUAAAUUGGUUCAUGAUUCACUUGUGAGGCCUCUUUGGAGAAAUUGUUGCCUGCAACCAACAUAUAAUGAUGCAUGCAUUAGUGGAAGAAUCUAUGCUUUUAGAUGGAUGAGAUGUAUAAGUUGUGAACCUAACAUAUAUAAGUUGCAUUGCUCAUAAAACCAAGUAAUAAUUUCACAAAAAGUUCAAAAAUUGGUAGUACAAUUAAUGUACCUAAUUUUAAAGUUCAAAUGCGCGCACCAGAAUCUUUUAAAAUUUUGCUCAAUCAUCCAAACUUUAAAAGUUUCUUAUUUGUCAUCCAGAACUUUCAAUUCUUUAACAUUUAACUACUUACUUUAUACUUUGUUAAUUUAAACUGACUGACAAUACCUAAAUGGUCAAGAAACAAUAAACAACACAUGCCAAAGCUAUAGAAAGGAAUUUUUUUUUUUUUUUUUUCCAAUGAUGGAAUUUAGUUUUACAGUAAAAAACAUAUUUUUUAUUAUUAACUAUUAAAAAUUAUAGUGAUAUUCUCAGCAAAAGAAAUAUUAAUGAAGUGUGUUUUUUUUUUUUAUUAUUUCUUGAUCAUUUGGCUAAUUAAUAUUAUAGAAACCUUAAAUAUACAAAAUAUUGGAAAUACGUUCUAGGUGAUAAAUAUAUAAUUUCUGUAGUUACAGAUGGUUAUGUGCAUCAGACUGAAAGUGGAAGUGCAAUCAACCCCUAUUUUCAGACCAAACUUUCCAUGAAUAAAUAGAUAGUUUUAAAAUUUUUACAGUAGUAGUACAUCCAUAUAUACUAGUUAAGGACCCAUGCGAAUGCCGCGAUAUAAAAUAUUCUAAUCAUAAAAUUUAGUUAAUUUUUAUUUUUUAUAAAAAUUUAUUAGCUUGUUUUUUUAAUUAAAUAAGUAAUAAUUAAAUUAAUUUAAAUAAAAAUAACUUAAGUUAGUACAUAUACGACAUAAAUUUUUAUAUUAGAUUAUUAGUGAUCAUCUCGUUAAUAACUACAAAUGUAUAAGUGAAUGUGUUAAAUUAUUAAGCUAAUUACAACACAAUUUAUUAUUUUGUAAAGGUAUGUGUAUCAACUAGGAUUCAAACUAGGAACUUCGGGUAUCAAGUAACAAGUCAUUUGCUGCUUGCGCUAGGGACGGUCGAUAAUGACCUCUCAUAGUUGAAGAGGAGAGUUAGGGUGACACAUGUUUUAUGUGCUUUCCUUAACUCUCCUUUCAGAUAUUACUGGUGAAGGCAUCCACAUGUUACAGUGGAUUGGUACGGCAGAAAUAAAUAAAUAAAUAAAGCUAAAGAAAGAAAAAAUAAUAAAAAAAAGAGUCAAAGAAUAAAAAUAAAAACAAACUAAAAAAGAAGCAGCAACUAUUGCAGUAAAAGUAUAAGAAUAAAAGUAUAAGAAAAGUAAUAAAAAAAAAAAAAGAAUAAAGGCAAAAUAAUAAGAAUAAUAAAUUCAAUUUAUAGCAUCAGUGAAAGUUGAGAAUUAAAAUGUCAUAUGCCUGAGAGUUUGAUUCAGAAAUUGUAACUAAUUAAAGCUUGAGAACUAAUAAUUUGAGCAAGAAAUAAUAAAGCAUUAAAGUUUGAAAAUUAAAGUAUUACGGAUUCUAUAAUUUGAGUAAGAAUUAAUAGCGGCCAUUUGAUAAUCGCCGUUAUCAAAUUAUCGCUAAAUUAUUAUUUUAUUGUAGUGACUGUACUCAUAUAUUUUGUCUUGAAUGAGAAUUCUUUUUAUUUUGGAAGGAUGUUGCAUUCGAUGUGCGAAAAAAUUUCGAGCCCGCUAAUCCCGUGGCGCGUCUUGCCACUCUGGCUCGUUGCCGUCACAUCCUGUCGAGGGAACAAGAAACCGGCAGAUCGCGGAGUUUGCCCACUUUCUCUUUCUCCCUUUCUCCCUAUCUGACUAUUAGGGGUGGAAACGAGCCGAGCUCGAGCGAGCUUAUGUCAGCUGCCGAGCAAGCUUAAUCCGAGCUUUUCGAGCUUAUAUAUAUAUACAUAUAUAUAUCAUCCCGAUAACACGAUAAUCCUCGUGUUGUUUGGAACACAAGGAUUCAAGAAUUGACAGGUAGUUUAAACUAACUACCAAUCCCACUUUCUCUCUUCUCUUUAACUUCUUUUCUUUAAAAGAAGUUAAAGAGAAGAGAGAAAGUGGGAUUGGUGGGUAGUUUAAACUACCCGCCAACUCUUGAAUCCUCGUGUUCCCAUCGGGAUGAGAUAUAUAUAUAUAUAUAUAUAUAUAUAUAUAUAUAUAUUACAUAAAAUUAAUAUAUAUCCAAAAUUAAAUUAAACCCGACAAUAACAACCGAGUAUUUUAUUUGGGUUGUUCAUGUUGGCACGUUAACUCGGGUUGAGUGUUAAAUAUAUUGUGUGAGAGAAAAAGUCUGAAAGUGACAACGUGUAUUGGGAUUUUGCACUAUUGUAAGUUUAAAGGUUUAGGGAUUAAAAAAAGGGGGGGAGAGAGAGAGAAGAGAGAGAGAGUCUGGGAGUGGGUCAAUCCGCCAGUGGGAUCGAGUGUAAAGAACGUUAAUAAAAUAUAAAACUUGAUAACCUGUACAACGUAGUUUAACAUCCAUUACAAGAUAUUUUUAAUUUGAUGACUAAUAUAUUACAGUUCUUAAAGUUAGCCGAGCAAAUCUCGAGCUCGAGCCGAGCUGAGCUUUAAUCCGAGCGAGCUCGAGCGGAGCUUAAUUAAAGUUCAGCUCGAACUCGGAUCUAAAUCCGAGCCUUAAUUAAAGUUCGGCUUAAACNCUCUCCCCCUCUCUCUCGCACGCCACUCUCUCUCUCUCUCUCUCUCUCUCUCUCGCACGAACACCUAUCAUCUUCUAUUGCGCCGUCCUCCCAGGUAAUCAUCACGAUCUCCUUCCCUCCAUUCGUCAUUUCUGUAAAAAAUAAUAUUCAAAUGACCACAACAAGGGUAAUUUUGAAAAAAACUAUACUUUUAUGUCAGGAUUACUAAAUUUUAUAAACUGAACCAAACGUAUUAAUGCUAUAAACACUGUAAUCUAAUAUUACAUUACUGAAUUAAACCAAACGUACUAAUACAGCAUCAGUAGUAAUCUCACGCCGAAAUUCAAGAUACUUGGAUAUGUCGAGAUACUUUGUAAUAUUACAUAACUCGAACCAAACGGGCCCUUAAUAUAAUCAUUCUUCUUCUUUUGCUAUUGUCGUUAUUUUUUUGUUUCGUCUUUUUUCUUCUAAUAACUUUGUUAUUAUUGUUGUUCUUGCUGGUUCUUCUUCUUGGUUCUUCUUCUUUAGCUUCUUUUUUUAUUUUUUUAUAUUUUUACUGCUACUAUAAAUAUAUUUAUUAUUCUUAUGUUUGUGUCUUUAUUCUUUUUUCAUUUCUUUUAUAUUUAUUAUUCUUAUGUUUGUGUCUUUAUUCUUUUUUCAUUUCUUUUUAUGCUUUUAUUCUUAUAUUUUAUUGCACCACCUGUUGCUGCUGCUGCUUCUUCUUCAACUAUUACUUUUUUUCUAAUUCUUUAGUUUCUUUAAAUUUUUUUAUGUUCUUAUUGUUUUUUUCCUUCGGUUUUUUUCUUAUUUAUUUGUCUCCACAUAACUGACUUCCCGCAACGCGCCGGUGUCUUCACUAGUUUUACAAUACCAGCUAGUCUACUACAGACCGUAACCCAAGAACAACUUUUAUAACUUGAGCUCUCUAUAUUACUCUUCAGAUUUGCUAGAAUUCAACUCUUUAAGAGCAGACAACUUAGCAUGCCAUCAAAAUAUCUAGUUUAAUGAUCCGCGUUUUGUCGAUGUCAUAGAUUUCUUUGCAUAAAUACAUGCUUAAUCUGAAAGCGAUAACUUAAUCAAACGAUUUAGUAAUCCAUCAUUCCCAAUUUAAAGAAACCAAAGUUGAUAAAUCUAGUGGAUUAGAAUGGAUUGUCAAACAUGGCCUUCAAAUAAUUAGCUGCAAUAGUUAGGAAAUGCGCGAUAAGAUUGGCAAAGCACAAAACAAACAGCGAGCGAUUUUGUAUCCACUAAACUCCUCUAAAGCUGAUCUAGCUAUUAUGUCCAGAUGAUACAAUUUGGAACUCAGAAUAUGGCAUGUAAAAACAGUUUUCCUAGGGUAAUAAGGUUAACAUGCAAUGGCUAGUAUAACUCAAUUCUUAAUUCUUCACUUAACAACUUGGGACUAACGAAUUUGUCCAGGUCUAAAUCAACAAACCAGAAUUUAGACCGUGCGCAUUUCAAUUUCCGCAACUUGGACCAUUUGUGAACGACAGAGUCGUGCGCGAACAUGUUUGCUUCACAUUAUCAGUUGUUUGGUCGAGAUCUCAGCUGGAAAGUGCAUCUAUAAAGAUAGCANUUAUUCUUUUUUCAUUUCUUUUUAUGCUUUUGUUCUUAUAUUUUAUUGCACCACCUGUUGCUGCUGCUGCUUCUUCUUCAACUAUUACUUUUUUCUAAUUCUUUAGUUUCUUUAAAUUUUUUUAUGUUCUUAUUGUUUUUUUCCUUCGGUUUUUUUCUUAUUUAUUUGUCUCCACAUAACUGACUUCCCGCAACGCGCCGGUGUCUUCACUAGUUUUACAAUACCAGCCCAAGAACAACUUUUAUAACUUGAGCUCUCUAUAUUACUCUUCAGAUUUGCUAUAAUUCAACUCUUUAAGAGCAGACAAUUUAGCAUGCCAUCAAAAUAUCUAGUUUAAUGAUCCGCGUUUUGUCGAUGUCAUAGAUUUCUUUGCAUAAAUACAUGCUUAAUCUGAAAGCCAUAACUGAAUCAAACGAUUUAGUAAUCCAUCAUUCCCAAUUUAAAGAAACCAAAGUUGAUAAAUCUAGUGGAUUAGAAUGGAUUGUCAAACACGGCCUUCAAAUAAUUAGCUGCAAUAGUUAGGAAAUGCGCGAUAAGAUUGGCAAAGCACAAAACAAACAGCAAGCGAUUUUGUAUCCACUAAACUCCUCUAAAGCUGAUCUAGCUAUUAUGUCCAGAUGAUACAAUUUGGAACUCAGAAUAUGGCGUGUAAAAACAGUUUUCCUAGGGUAAUAAGGUUAACAUGCAAUGGCUAGUAUAAUUCAAUUCUUAAUUCUUCACUUAACAACUUGGGACUAACUAAUUUCUUACAAUGUCAUCCUUAAGCAGGAAGAAUUUGUCCAGGUCUAAAUCAACAAACCAGAAUUUAGACCGUGCGCAUUUCAAUUUCCGCAACUUGGACCAUUUGUGAACGACAGAGUCGUGCGCUAACAUGUUUGCUUCACAUUAUCAGUUGUUUGGUCGAGAUCUCAGCUGGAAAGUGCAUCUAUAAAGAUAGCACAGAGAGACAUUAGGUAGGCCAACAAAAUCUGCUUAACUGAAAAUUUGGAGGGCAAAGUAAAUAUCUACCAAACAUGAAGUGAUUACCCCCUAUUCUUUCUAAUUCAUAGUACAAUUCAGACAUGAGAUCUCUUAUUUCUUGCAACAGCUAAAGCCUAUUUCUGCCAAAUAUAAAACUGCAGUACAGUUUGGCCCAAAUAUCUCUUUCAAUUGCCAAAAAAUCAACAAAGAUUAACACUGUAAGUCAUAAAAUUGUUAGAUUACCUCAAACUUGGAAUGCAUUUGGUUCUGAACGACAAUCUAUUAGCGGCAAAGCAUCAAUGGUAAAGCAGCAACCAGGAGAAGAACAGAAUUAUAAAUGACACCUUAAGAUUCUAGAAUUCGCAAACCAUGUACCUUGAAAUUAAACUGAACCAUCAUCAAAGACCAGAAGCAACUCCAUCUACGAGAAAUAAACCUUCCAAAUUGCCCUACCGUUCAAACCUUUAUAUAUGGAUUGGAUCGAAGAACAGGGAAUAAAAAUGCAGAGUUUCCAAGAUCCACAUUUAAUUAACUGUUUGUUUAGCAUGACCAUUUUCUCUAUUGCAAGAAGCAAACAACAGCAUUUGAAACAGGAAAAGCCCUCGUCUUUUUCUAUGGCAGCAAACUGAAAUAAAAUUUCAUUGACUUGUCUGUCUCCAAGAACUAAGUAGGAUUUAUUUCUCACAAAUAUAAAGGCAAACAAGCAAACUCAAUAUAUUGUUAUAUUUCAACUGCCUUUCAGACAAAUACCAGUCAAAAAUUAGUAGAAGCCAAUACCACUUAGAAUAUAAGGGCAACAUAUUUGCAUAAGGUAUGUGUUUUACACUACAAAGUUUUGUAUCUCACACCGAACCCUACAAGUAGAUAAAUUUGACUCUUCACGAGAGCACCAACAAACUCCCAUAUUCAGGAAAAGUAGCAUCUUUUAUUUGUUAAAGCAAAGAUAAGAAGAUAAAAUGCUACAAUAUAACUUGUUAAAGCCUCCAAAGUACUAACAUCAAUAACUAAGAACUUAAAAUAAAGAAAAACCAGCAAUCAAAAUAUAUAUAUAUAUAUAUAUAUAUAUAUAUAUAUUUCCCACCAUUAUGCACGACCAAACAGCACCUGAAUGGCGAAGCAGCCUGGUGUAGAGCAUGACAUUCGGCCUACAAAGCAAAUAAGGAAACAUCUAGUUGUGUUAUUGCAAAGAGACAGAAAAUUUAAACAAACAAGUAUUGCUAAUUAUAUUUCAUUAAUUAGCAUAAUCAUAUAAAGAUAACAUGGAGCAUGUUAUCCAACACUUUAUUAGGAAUACUCUCAGGAAGCAUUAGAAACUAUUCUGCAACAAUUGAUAUGCAAGAAAUAAUUAGCAUCUCUUCCUGAAUCUUAUGAGAAUCAGUAAAAGAUAUAGUCCUCCUAACAAUUCAAAAGCCUCAUCCAAAUUCCUAAUUUUACAAGUCCAAGAAGUUACCAAUUUGGACAAAUAUAUAGCUAGCUAAUGUCGUAGCUGAAAUUUUUUUUCAUUAAAAAAAUUAGCACAAUGAGGAAAAAAUAAAAACUUAACAUAAAACAAAGUUGAACAUUGAUGUAACUAAGCAUUGGAAGUAGAAAUACAAGACGAACAGAAUAAAUAAUUUUAGCAUAGGAAACCUCAUUCUCCUUUUCUACAACAUAUCGCAUGACGCAUGGUUUUCAAGUUAGACAACAGAUAUCGAAUUAAAUAACAAAUGCUCUAAUUAAUUUAAGUACUAUAUACACAAACUAUGACCUAACUAUACAAACAAAUAAAUAAAAAUAUACCUUUACUAACUCGCAGUUGGCUUGAGUCUACAAAGAGCAACUCUAAUGUUACGUUGCACCCCAUAAAACACCUUCGCCUGGAAGAUUUUCCACUCAGCUUCACUGUCAACUGCUUGGAAGGUAACAUAGUACCAAAGUCCUGCUGCGACACUACACGUUGCCUUCUCUAUUUUUACAAACACAUAACUCAUAUCCUACAUUACGAAAACAUCACGAAAUCAAUUUUAUCAAAAAAAAAAAAAAAAAAAAAAAAAACACACAAAGAAAUAAACAAUAAGAAAAGACAUACACAAGGCAACAUGAACAUACAUUUUCCUUAUUAAAAUGUUCGAUUGCCAAUUUAGUACAUCUGAGAAGAAUUUCAUCAUCAAAAUCCGUGAUCGCCGUAAGGCCAAACUCACAAGUGCCUGGAAAUGGAUCAACAUCGAAUCCCUGUAAAAGACAUGUAUUAACAAUUAGUGAAAAAAAGGUUAUGAAACUUUAACUCUCAAAAAGAAGACAAUAAUUAUUAAACACCUCGCUUUCCUUGAUUUGUUUGUAAUAUCUGUCCCAUUCUUCGCGAGUCCUACUGCGAUUACCAUUAGGCCAAACAUAAACCUCAUCUUCCUCUGAAGUAUGCUCAUAAACCCUUUGAUCCUUCUCGUUCCCUUUCUCUUCCUCCAUUUCACUUUGGGUAUCUUCCUCCUUGCCCUCUUCCCUCAUCUCUUCGCUUUCUUCCUGCAGUUUCAACUUCUUCUGCAGCGGCCCUUCAGGUAUCAGGUUCUUGGAAUUCUGCCUGUAUCACAAAAUGAAAUAUAUCUAUCAUAAAAAAUUUAAACAAAUUUCAAUCAAAACUAACGACAAUUUAAAAAAAAAAAAUCUUAAAUUGGCUCAAAUAGAAGAAGAAUUUAGCCGAUGCAUACGAAACAGAGACCAAACAGGGCAUAAUUCAGGUGAUACAUUCCUAGAUUAGGAUUUUCUAAUUACGGAAUAAUAUAUUAUUUAUUUUAAAAUAUUUCAGUUGUUUCCAAUAAAGUGUAAUUAGGGUUAGGUUAUAGAAAUGUGUAUCUUUUAGGGUUUGGAGAAUAAGAAGAAAUUGGUCGUGUUGUUCUCUUCUCCCUUAUCUAUCUUUAUCUCUCUAAUAUCUCUCUCUUUAGGAGGUUCGAUCCCCUCGAAGUGAUCGUUUAUCCCUAUUGAUACUAAUAUCUCUCUCUUUAGGAGGUUCGAUCCCCUCGAAGUGAUCGUUUAUCCCUAUUGAUACUAAUAUCUCUCUCUUUAGGAGGUUCGAUCCCCUCGAGGUGAUCGUUUAUCUCUAUUGAUACAAUACAACGGUAUCAAUUGGCAUCAGAGCCUUGUAUGUAUAGUGUAAACUCCAGCAAAAAAAGAUUUUCUGAAGAAGAUGAAUGGGGAUUUCAUAAGAAAAGAAGAGAUGAACGCUCGGUUUUCCAAUGUGAAGGCCCAACUCAACAAAGUGGAGACCGAGGUAAAGCUCACUAGCGAUUCUAUUAAUGAUCUCAAAAAUUUGAUCAUCCCUAUGAGCACGAAGAUGGAUUUGCAGCCGCAUACGCCAUUUGAAGAUACAUUCGUCUCGAAUUUCGACAAAAAUCAUCCCUUGCUCCCAACUCCUAUUAAGAAGGAAGCAUUGAUCCUAUUCAAAAUGUUCGUGACUAUCAGGCUCGACUCGAAAUGCUUGCCAAUCGCACUUAACAUUUUUCAUAAGUUUCUUGCCAAUCGCACUUAACAUUUUUCAUAAGUUUCUUCAUUAGUGGGCUGAAGGAGGAUCUAAAGUAUAACGUCCGAGCCUUCCGACCAACUUCUAUAUCAGCUGCUAUUGGUCUUGCUCGUCUACAAGAGGAGAAGUUAAUAGCUCAACAUCGUAUUAUGAAGCCUAAGCCUUCCCUUUUGUGCCCUUCCAUGACACCAAUAUCUAAUGAGGCGCUUCCACCCAUAAAGCGCCUUACACCGGCUAAAGCAAAAGUAAGAAGAGAUCAAGGCCUUUUGCUACAAUUGUAUGAAAAAUAGUCCUGGACAUCGAUGAAAAUCAAAGCAACUAUUUUUGAUCGAGGCCGAACGUGAUGAAAACAGAGAAGAUCUAAAGAGGAUAGGCAAAGGUUGAGGAUUUUCCAUCUUGAGGGCAAGGUGGCUAUCGAGGGCGGUGGAAUGACAUAUUCCUAGAUUAGGCUUUUUAAUUAUGGAAUAAUAUAAUAUUUAUUUUAGAACAUUUCAGUUAUUCUCAGUAAAGUGUAACUAGGAUUAGGUUAUAUAGAUGUGUAUCUUCUAGGGUUUGGAGAAAAAAAAAAAUUUGACCGUCUUGUUCUAUCUUCCCUCCCGUUCUCUUCCCUCUUAUCUUAAUCUCUUUAAUAUCUCUCUCUUUAGGAGGUUCGAUCCCCUCGAAGUGAUCGUUUAUCCCUAUCGAUACGGUAGAACCGUAUCAUCAAGCUAAAUUUCGUAAAUAAUUUUUUGGAAGGACUAUUUUUAUAAUUAUAAAAUAUGUUAUAAGUAUAUUAAUAAAAGAAAAGUCAACCAGCCAUCAUAAUCAAAAUAAUCAAAUGCAUAUCAAACGGCACAAACGGCAUUCUAAUCAUUUAUUACAAUCCAAAAUUGAUCAGAGUCAAACACAUAUCAAAAUCGCACAUAAAAAAAAAAGCACAUCCUGACAUAUGUGUACAGAAUAUGGUAACAAACGAGAUGUAUACCUUUGCCAGGUAAAGACAAUCUUCAGGAGAAGCAAGGCCUUCGCGAAUAAAGGCGGUGCGAAGGCACAGGAGAAGGAGACUCAGACUUGCGCUGCAAGUUUUGAUUUUAAUUUAGAGUAAACUUCAAGUCCCAUCCAUGUAGUUUCGCACUUCCUCAUUUUAGUACUCUAUAAUUUAAAGUGUAUCAAUUUAGUGCCCUCUGGUUUUAUUUUUCUCUUUUCAUCAACUUCUUCGUUAAUAUUUCGUUAAAUUAUAUACAAAAAAACUUCAGAUACCCACCUAGGUUUAUCGAAUAUUUACUUUAAUACUCUUUAGUUUUAACUUUGUCAUUGAUUUAAAGAAAAAAAUUAGUAGAAUUGAUAAUAAAAGGAUAAAAAUAAAACCACAGGACGCUAAAUUGAUACACUUUAAAGUAUAAAAUAAUAAAAUGAGAAAAUGUGAAAUCACAGGGGUGAUAUUUGAAAAUUUUCUUUUAAUUUUUAGUUUUUUGUUUUAGCAGUGGGCGGUGGCGUCGGGUGCUUCCCAUACGUGCGCUGCUGGCCCGGUACUUGGCAAAAGCCAAAACCACCUGAGGAACGAAUCACAUCCCCAGUGACGUUUCUGCCCUACUUUUGGAACAAAAGGCCAAAAAAAAAAAAACUUUAAACUAACGUAAAAAAGAUUAUGAACUUUAGUUUUCUUUUUUGUUUUUUUCCCAAUUAGAAUCUUAUUAUUCUAUUUGAAUUGGAUUCUAAUUCGGUUUCAGAUUUUGAAUUCCGAAAUUUUUCGGAUUCAAAUUCAGAUUUACUAUUUUUUUUCCCUAACUCAUAUUCAGAUUCGGAUUCAGAUUCGAAUAUGCAAUUUUGAAAUAUCCCAACAAAACUCUCACAACUUUUUUUUAUUUUAGCUUUAAAUAGAAUUAGGCUGGUAUACUUCCGUGCUACCAAAUUGUUUUCAAUAAUGCAACCUCCAAAUCGACGAUCGGCUCCGUUAGACUUGAUUUAUACUAUUGAAAGUAUUUGAAAACUAAAUUUCAUAAUUUUUCGACAUCAUUUGUCUAGUGAUCAAAAGUUACCAAAAUUGACAAUUUUAAUAGUCGACGUGAUGUAUUUGUGAAUUUAACGGUGUAAAACAAUUCAAAUCUGAUAAAAUCUUUAUAAAAAAUUCUUUUCACUAUUUAGAGUAAGAUCAGUACCUCUGAUCUUAAAUCAAGUCUUUUAUCAUCAUUUUUUAUAAGUUUUUUUAUUUUCAGUCGUUUAUUUUAGACUACUCAUUGAUAGAUAAAUAAUGUCGACAAAUUAUGAAAUUUAGUUUUCAAAUACUUUUAAUAGUGUAGAUCAAGUCUAAUGGAGCCGAUCGUCGAUUUGGAAGCGGCAUCAUUGAAAAUAACUUGGUAGCACUGAGACCUCUGUGCUACCGAUAGUAUACCAGCCGGACUCCUUUAAAUAUUAAUUAAAUAAUAUAAGUGGUAUGGUAUCCAAUGUUGAUUUAGGGGCCGUUUGGUUCAGGAACAAAGCGGGAAUAAAUACUUGUUCCUUUUUUUGUUUCCAGAUGCUAUGUUUGGUACUCGAGAACAAGCAGUUUUCAAGUCUCUGGAAUAAGCAAGUAUAAUCCGGUAUAAGUUUUGAAUUGUUAUUCCAACUUUUUUCUAGAACAAGCUUGUUCCCAAGUAGAAACAAGAUUAAUUAAAGUUUAAAUUUAAUUUUAACUAUGAUAUUAAAUUAUUAAUUAAUCUAAUUAAUAUAUUAGAAUUAUUAUCCAUUGUUUAAAUAAUAAAGUAAUUAAUUAAUUAAUUUAUUAUGUAUAAUUAAUUAGCUAAUUAAUUAUUAAUAAUUUAAUGUGUUUAUCUAUAAAUUAAUUUUUAUAUUGAUCAACCAUUAAUAUUAUUAUUAUUCUAAUUAAUUUUUUAAUUAGUUAUCAGACUAAAAUAAUUUACUAACUAAUUAAAAAUCUAAAUUAUUUUUUAUAGUUAAUUAAUUAAUUGAUAUAUUUUUAUUAUCUUCUAUAAUAUUCAUAGGUAAUAAAUUUAUUAAUUUAUUAAAUUAUUUUAAUUAAUAUUUUGAUGUUAAUUAACAGGAUAAAACAUUUUUAAUUUAAAAUUAUAACUCUUGUUUUUUCUGUUUCAAUCUAAUCAUCCAAACACUAUUUACCUUAUUUUCAAAAACAAUCUAAUUUUUGUCUAAAUGCAAAAUUAGUCUAGUUUCUGUUUAUAUCUAAACUUAUAUCUAUUUGUGAAAUAAGUAGUUUUUACUCGUAUCUGAACCAAGAUUCUUUUUUAUUAGUUCGGUUUGGACUACUAUUGAUGUGACAAACUAUUUAUUUACCUUAUAGUCUCUCUUCUUCUUUUUUUCCUUAUUUCUUUAAUUUAUGUUUUUUUUUUAUUAUUUUGAAGUGGUGGUUUCAUCACAAACAAAUAUCUUCCUUCGUUUCUUUGUCAUUGUACCAUCAACUAAAACCUUUUCUUAAAAUAGAGAUCAAAGGUUGUGACUAUUUGCUUAGGAGGCCGUUUCUAGAAGAAGGAAUGCAAGCUUACAACAAAAUUCUAUUAUGUGCGGAAUGGCAAUCUUGGUGGGUCUGCUCCUACAGGCAACCAUUAUUUGCAGCCGUAAGGUGGAGUGAGGGUUUUGAUGCGGUAUGCUUUGAGGUUGAUCUGAACUUUCAUAGUACAAUCAGAGGUUAAAUUUUGUGUGAAAGUUGCAGAUUUGGGCUUCAGCUCCCUAUGGGAGAAGAGUAAAAUUACGCUGUUGUUUUCUGAAAUAUUGCAUAGCCCCCCGACCUCCACCACCUUGAUAUUUAACAGUUUGUUUUGAUUUUGAGUGACCAAGUAAAUUUGAUUUGCCUAAUGUCUAUCUUUUUUUUAUUUUUUUUCUUUCUUUCUUUCUUUCUUUCUUUUUUUAGCUACUUGCUUUUGCUUCUCCUCUACUUACCACUAUAAUUUUAUGGCCUUUGAAUCAUUUGAAGCAUUUUGGUUGUUUUCAUUUUAGUCUUUACUGUGUCGUGAUUAUCUAACAAACUCUUUAGGUUAGCUGCAAAAGAAGUGCCUUUUAUUGUUGAACUACAAUGGGGGUGCCGUAUGCUGCUCUUGUUGUUGCUAUUAUUAUUAUUAUUAUUGUUGUUGUUGUUGUUGUUGUUGUUGUUGUAGUUCUUCUUCUUCUUCUCUUAUGUUGUUGAACUAUAGAAGGGGUGCUUCUUCUUCUUCGUCGUCGUCCUGCUCCUCCUCCUCCUCCUCCUCCUCUCCUAUUCUUGUUGCUAUUAUUAUUAUUAUUGUUAGAAGGGGUGUAAAGUCUCAUCUUUCAUUUUUUGGCUGGAAAAAGUGGUAAAGUUGGAAGACUUUGCAUUCAAGUAUCUCCUGCACUGCAGGACUAUUUUGGCAGGGGCUACUCGGCAGGCAACCAUUUUGCAUUCAGAUUGACAUUACAGAUAUGAGGGACUAGUGCACAAUAUCCAAGAUUCGAGGGAAUCACAUGCCUCCCAAAAUGAGAUAGAGAGAGGGAGAAAAACUCUUAUUAUCGAUGAAUCGGCAUCUCUGAAACAUGGUCAAAUUAGAGAAAAGCUUUCUAAGAAGAGAGGCGAUGAUGGUUCGUAAUCCUCCUCUCAUGCUCUGCCACUCCCUGAUUUAGUAAUGGCGUGGCAACCCUGGAGGUAUAUUGUCUUAAGGUGACAAUUACAUGUUGUGGUUGUGAGACUGGUUUGUGGACAACAAAUGGCAACCAGGUUGGUAUUCAUUGCUAGGUGGGAGUGGUGAAGACCGAAGAUAGGAGGGAGGCUAAUGGAAUAGUUCCCCUGAGCCUCUGCUUCUAAAUCCUGUUUUAUUGUUCUAUGAAUUAUGAAGGCUUUUUGUGGACUUCUGUCCAUGCAUCUUGUGCAGGUAAUAAUUUCUCGAGCUUAUCUUUUUCUGAUAAGGUUGAGGAUUUUCCAUCUUGAGGACAAGGUGGCUAUCGAGGGCGGUGGAAUGACAUAUUCCUAGAUUAGGCUUUUUUAAUUAUGAAAUAAUAUAUUAUUUAUUUUAAAACAUUUCAGUUAUUUUCAAUAAAAUGUAACUAGGGUUAGGUUAUAUAGAUGUGUAUCUUCUAGGGUUUGGAGAAUAAGAAGAAUUUGACCAUCUUGUUCUAUCUUCCCUCCCGUUCUCUUCCCCCUUAUCUAUUUUUAUCUCUCUAAUAACUCUCUCUUUCUUUAGGAGGUUCGAUUCUCUCGAAGUGAUCGUUAAUCCUUAUCGAUACGGUAGAACUGUCUGUAUCAUCAGGCCAAAUUUCGUAAAUAAUUUUUUUGAAGGACUAUUUUUACAAUUAUAAUAUGUUAUAAGUCUAUUAAUAAAAGAAAAGUCAACCAACCAUCGUAAUCAAAAUAAUCAAAUGCAUAUCAAACGGCACAAACGGCAAUCUAAUCAUUUAUUACAAUCCAAACUUAAUUAAUCAGAGAGUCAAACACAUAUCAAAAUCGCACAUAAAGAAAAAAAAGCACAUCCUGACACGUGUACAGAAUACGGUAACGAACGAGAUGUAUACCUUCGCCAGGUGAAGACAAUCUUCAAUACGUCCAUGUCGAGAAGGACAAUGCGGCGGCGGCGGCGGCGGCGGAUGCCGGGCGAAGACGGGGGGAAGGAUCGGACUUCAGGAGGAGCAAGGGCUUCGCGAACAGAGUCAGUGCGAAGAGACAGGAGAAGGAGACUCCGCCGCCGCCGAUGCCGGGUGAAGACGGGGGGAGGAUCGGACAAGGGCUUCGGGAACAGAGGCGCCGAUGCCGGGCGAAGACGGGGAGAGGAUCGGACAAGGGCUUCGGGAACAGAGGCGGUGCGAAGGGACGGGGGAGAAGGAGACUCAGACUUGCUGUGCACGUUUUGAUUUUAGUUUUAGAAAAACUUCAAAUGCCAUCCUUGUGGUUUUAUAUUUUCUGACUUUAAUAUUCUAUAAUUUAAAUUUAAAGUGUAUUAAUUUAGUAUUUUACGAUUUUAUUUUUAUUUUUUUAUUAUAAAUUUUAUUAAUUUUUUUCGUUAAAUCAGUGACAAAGUUAAAACUAAACGGUAUUAAAAUGAAUGUUCGAUAAACCUAGGUGGGGUAUCUAAAAUUUUUUAUAUAUAUUUUAACGAAAUAUUAACGAAAAAGCUAACGAAAAAAUAAAAAUAAAACCGCAGGACACUAACUAGAUACACUUUAAUUAUAGGGUACUAAAAUAAGAAAGUGUGAAACCACAUGAGUGAUUUUUGAAUUUCACCCUUUAGUUUUCAGUUUUUAGUUUUUUUAUUUUAGCAGUGGACGGUGGUGUCGGAUGCUUUCCAUACGUGCGCCACAGGCCGAUACAGACUUGGCAAAAGCCAAAACCACCUGAGGAACAAAUCACAAUCCCAGUGACGCUUCUGCCCUACUUUUGGAACAAAAUGCCAAAAAAACAGCAAAAAACUUUAAACUAAUGUAAAAAGGGUUAAUUACACCGAUGGUCUCAAAUCUUUGCACUAUUUUUCACUUGGGUCCCCAACUUUUUUUUUUGCAAUUGAGUCCCUAAUCUCUUGAUUUUAUUACAAUCACGUCCCGCCGUAAAAAAUACUGUUAAAAUUAAUGGAAUAGAAUAGGCAUCCUUUUGCAUGUUAAUUUUGGUCCAUAAACUUUGCACGUUUUUCACUUUAGUCCCUAAAAAAAAUUUAAAAUUUUAAUUUGAAAUUCAAAAAUAAUAUUAAAAUUAAAAUUUUAAACUAACGAGAAAUUAGAAAUUUGAAUUUGAAUUUAAAGCUAAAUUAAAAUCUUGAAUUGAAAUUUAAAUUUUAAAUUUGAAUUUUAAAUUGAAUCUAAAAUUUGAAUUCAAACUUAAAGUUUUGAUUUUGAUAUUUCAAUUUACAUUUAAAAUGAAAGUUUUGAAAUUGAAAUUUAAAUUUAAAAUCGUAUUCAAAAUUUUGAUUUUAAAUUUAAAUUUGAAUUCAAAAUUUAAAUUUAAAAUUAAGAUUUGAUUUCAAUUCUAAAUUUGAAUUUAAACAUCGAAUUCAAAUUCACAUUUUGAUUUGAAAUUUCAAAUCAAAGUUUGAAAUUAAAUUAGAAUUUAAAAUUCGAAAUGUGAAUUCGAGUUUAAAAUUAAAAUUUUAAAAUUAAAUGUAAAAUCAGAAUUUGAAUUCAAAUUUAAAUUUGAAUCCAAAAUCAAAAUUUAAAUCUUAAAUUAAAAAUCUUGCUUUAAAUUUAUAAAUGUAAUGGGUUAAUUACACCAUUGGUCCUCAACCUUUACACAAUUUUUCAAUUUAGUCCUCAACCUUUUUUUUUUUUUGCAAUCCGCUGACACCCGCCUCUGUGGCGCUGACACGGCGCCUCCGUGGCGCUGACAUGGUGCUGACGUGGUAUUUUCCGUCAAUUUUAAUACCUUUUUGACGGCUGGGACUUAAUUGUAAUGAAAUCAAUAUAUUAGAGACUUGAUUGCAAAAAAAAAAAGAUUGGGGACCAAAUUGAAAAAUAGUGCGAAGGUUUGGGACCAAUGGUGUAAAUAACCCAAUGUAAAAAAGAUUAUAAACUUUAGUUUUCUUUUUUGUUUUUUUUUUUUCUAAUUAGGAUCUUAUUAUUCUAUUUGAAUUUGGAUUCUAAUUCGGUUUCGGAUUUUGAGUUCCGAAAUUUUUUGGAUUCAAAUUCAGAUUUACUAUUUUUUGCCCCAACUCAUAUUCAGAUUCGGAUUCGGAUUCGAAUAUGCAAUUUUAAAAUAUCCCAACAAAACUCUCACAACUUUUUUUUAUUUUAGCUUUAAAUAGAAUUGGAUUCGGAUUCGAAUUCGGAUUCGAAUAUGCAAUUUUGAAAUAUCCCAACAAAACUCUGACAACUUUUUUUAUUUUAGCUUUAAAUAGAAUUAGGCUGGUAUACUAUCGGUAGUACGGAGGCCUCCGUACUACAAAAUUGUUUUCAAUGAUGCGGCUUCCAAAUCGACGAUCGGCUCCGUUAGAUUUCAUAUACGCUAUUGAAAGUAUUUGAAAACUAAAUUUCAUAAUUUUUCGACAUCAUUUGCCUAGUGAUCAAAAGGUAUCAAAAUUGACAAUUUCAUAAUUUUUCGACAUCAUUGGCCCCAAUUUCCCUUUCAAUUGCCAAAAAUCAACAAAGAUUAACACUGUAAGUCAUAAAAUUGUGAGAUUACCUCAAACUUUGCAUUCGGUUCCGAACGCCACUCUAUUAGCGGCAAAGCAUCAAUGGUAAAGCAGCAACCAGGAGAAGAACAAAAAUAUAAAUGACACCUUGAGAUUCUAGAAUUCGCAAACCAUGUACCUUGAAAUUAAACUAAACCAAAAGCAACUCCAUCUACGAGAAAUAAACCUUCACGUACGGAUCGGAAUAGCAAUUCCAACUGUUUGUUUAGCAUGACCAUUUUCUCUAUCGCAAGAAGCAAACAACAGCAUUUGAAACAGGAAAAGCCCUCGGCUCUUUCUAUGGCAGCAAACUGAAAUAAAAUUUCAUUGGCUUGUCUGUCUCCAAAGAACUAAGUAGGAUUUAUUUCUCACAAAUAUAAAGGCCAACAAGCAAACUCAACAUAUUGUUAUAUUUCAACUGCCUUUCGGACAAAUACCAAUCAGAAAUUAGCAGAAGCCAAUACCGCUUAGAAUAUAAGGGCAACAUAUUUGCCUAAGCUAUGUGUUUUACACUGCAAAGUUUUGUAUCUCACACCGAACCCUACAAGUAGAUAAAUUUGACUCUUCACGAGAGCACCGACAAACUCCCAUAUUCAGGAAAAGUAGCAUCUUUUAUUUGUUGAGGCAAAGAUAAGAAGAUAAAAUGACACAAUAUAACUUGUUAAAGCCUCCAAAUUACUAACACUAAUAACUAAGAACUUAAAAUAAAGAAAAACCAGCAAUCGAAAAAAAAAAAAAAUUUACCACCAUUAUUCACGACCAAACAGCACCUGAAUGGGGAAGGCCUGGUGUAGAGCAUGACAUUCCGCCUGCAAAGCAAAUAAGGAAACAUCUAGUUGUGUUAUUGCAAAGAGACAGAAAAUUUAAACAAACAAGUAUUGCUAAUUAUAUUUCAUUGAUUAGCAUAAUCAUAUAAAGAUAACAUGGAGAAUGUUAUCCAACACUUUAUCACGAAUACUAUCAAGAAGCAUCAGAAACUAUUAUGCAACAAUUGAUAUGUAGGAAAUAAUUAGCAUCUCUUCCUGAAUCUUGUGAGAAUCAGUAAAAGAUAUAGUCCUCCUAACAAUUCAAAAGCCUCAUCCAAAUUCCUAAUUUUACAAGUCCAAGAAAUUACCAAUUUGGACAAAUAUAUAGCUAGCUAAUUGUGGUAGCUGAAAUUUUUUUCAUGAAAAAAAAUUAACACAAUGAGGAAAAUAUAGAAACUUAACAUAAAACAAAGUUGAACAUUGAUGUAACUAAGCAUUGGAAGUAGAAAUACAAGACGAACAGAAUAAAUAAUUUUAGCAUAGGAAACCUCAUUCUCCCUUUCCACAACAUAUCGCAUGUCACAUCGUUACAAAUAUCGAAUUAAAUAACAAAUGCUCUGAUUAAUUUAAAUACUAUAUACACAAACUAUAACCUAACUAUACAAACAAAUAAAUAAAAAUGUACCUCUACUAACUCGCAGUGGGCUUGAGUCUACAAAGAGCAACUUUAAUGUUACGUUGCACCCCAUAAAGCACCUUCGCCUGGAAGAUUUUCGGCUCAGCUUCACCGUCAACUGCUUGGAAGGUAACAUAGUACCAAAGUCCUGUUGCGACACUACACGUUGCCUUCUCUAUUUUUACAAACACGUAACUCAUAUCCUACAUUAUAAAAAACAUCAUAAAAUCAAUUUUAUCAAACAAAAAUAAAGACACAAAGAAAAAAACAAUAGGAAAAGACAUACACAAGGGAACAUGAACAUACAUUUUUCUUAUUAAAAUGUUCGAUUGCCAAUUUAGUACAUCUGAUAAGAAUUUCAUCAUCAAAAUCCGUGAUCGCCGUAAGGCCAAACUCACACGUGCCUGGAAAUGGAUCAACAUCGAAUCCCUGUAAAAGACAUGUAUUAACAAUUAGUGAAAAAAAAAAAGGUUGUGAAGCUUUAACUCUCAAAAAGAAGAUAAUAAUUAUUAAACACCUCGCUUUCCUUGAUUUGUUUGUAAUAUCUAGCCCAUUCUUCGUGAGUCCUACUGCGAUUACCAUUCGGCCAAACGUAAACCUUAUCUUCCUCUGAAGUUGCUCAUAAACCCUUUGAUCCUUCUCGUUCCCUUUCUCUUCCUCUAUUUCACUUUGGAUUUCUUCCUCCUUGCCCUCGUCCCUCAUCUCUUCGCUUUCUUCGUGCAGUUUCAACUUCUCCUACAUCGACUCUUCAGGUAUCAGCUUCUUAGCAUUCUGCUAUAUCACAAAAUGAAAUACAUCUAUACAUAAAAAAUUUAAAUAAAUUUCAAUCAAAACUGACGACAAAUUAAAAAAAAAAUUCUUAAAUUGGCUCAAAUAAAAGAAGAAUUUAGCCGAUGCAUACGAAAUAGAGUCCAAACAGGGCAGAAUUCAGGUGAUACAUUCCUAGAUUAGGAUUUUCUAAUUACGAAAUAAUAUAUUAUUAUUUUAAAAUAUUUCAGUUGUUUCCAAUAAAGUGUAAUUAGGGUUAGGUUAUAUAAAUGUGUAUUUUUUAGGAUUUGGAGAAUAAGAAGAAAUUGGCCGUGUUGUUCUAUCUUCCAUCUUGUUCUCUUCCCCCUUAUCUAUCUUUAUCUCUCUAAUAUCUCUCUCUUUAGGAGGUUCGAUUCCCUCGAAGUGAUCAUUUACCCCUAUCGAUACGGUAGAAUCUUGUUCUAUCUCCCCUCCCGUUCUCUUCCCUCUUAUCAAUCUUUAUCUCUCUAAUAUCUUUCUCUAGGAGGUUCGAUUAUCUCAAAGUAAUCGUUUAUCCCUACCGAUACGGUAGAACCGUAUCAUCAGGCCAAAUUUCGUAAACAAUUUUUUUGAAGGAAUAUUUUUAUAGUUAUAAUCUAUUACUCUUUAUGAAUCCCCAAUGUUUUAAGCUGAUGUGUCAUAACCUCCUAAUUUUGAAUUUUUUUUAAUUUAGAAUGAUCAAUUUUAUUCUCUCUCUCAACAUACGUCUCUUCAUCUCCCCCAUUUAAUUUUUAUUUAGAAUGAGUCAUUUUACUCUCUCUCUCAACAUACGUCUCGUCAUCUCCCCUAUUCAAUUUUUAUUUAGAAUUAGCCAUUUUACUCUCUCUCUCUCAACAUUCGUCUCCUCAUCUCCCUCAUUUUAUUCUCUCUUUCUUAACAUACGUCUCUUCAUCUCUUCCAUUUAAUUUUUAUUUAGAAUAAGCUAUUUUACUCUCUCUCUCCAUCGUUGGUAGAUGUACCAAGUGAGAUAUACAAAAAAAUAUUUAAUAUUUUAUUAUUAUUAAUUACUACUAUAGUUUCUAUCCGCUGCAAAGCGCGGGACUCUUCACUAGUAUGAUAUAAGUCUACUAAUAAAAGAAACGUCACAAACAAACGGCAUUCUAAUCAUUUAUUACAAUCCGAACUUAAUUAAUCAGAGAACCAAACACAUAUCAAAUCGCACAUUCAAACAAAAACAAAAAAAAAGAAAGCACAUUCUAACACAUGUGUACGGAAUAUGGUAACGAACGAGAUGUAUACCUUUGCCAGGUGAAGACAAUUGUAAUGUCUUGAAGAAUAAGUAGUUUAAUAGUUAGUAGGGGAAGGAAGUAAAAAUGUCAACUUUACAAUAGUAAGACCAGAAAUAAGGACGGAAGUAGUAGGCGGAUCGGGCGGUCGAAUUACCGGAUCGGGCGUAAAACGCAGACCCAAGCCCCGCCGGGUUGCGGGUGAUGCGGAGAAGGCAGGAACCGACGCCCACUUACCGUUAUGCAUGGGUCAGGCGAACCGGAGCUCGGAUCGAGGCGAAAUGGCAAACCCAAGACCUGCAGGGUUGCGGGUAGUGAGGAGAAGUGCGGACCCGAGUCCGUUUGCCUGACAAUCAGCAGAAGAGAUCGGGAAAGCCCGGGAAAGGGCCCAACUACCAUGAGAUUUCAGCCCAUACGAGUUUUUCCUCAAUUUAUCACUUUUGCUGUUUAGCCCUCAUAGACUAGGUGCGUUUUUAGUUUAGUCCAAAUUACCAAGUACUAUAAAUACCAAAGUAUAAUGUAAACAGGGUAUCAAUAAAAUGAAAUAUUGAAUCUGCUUCUUCCCCAAACUCUCUUCUUCUCUAAACUCUCUUUUCCCAACUCUUAUCUUUUCUCUACCUCUCAUCCACACCAUGUCUAAACUCUAAACACAAUGAAUAAUUCGCCGUGUUUAAAAAAAUACAAUUAUAUGUAUUACGAAAAAAAUAUAAGUAUUAAAAAAAGGGAAUACAAAAAAUAUAAGCACGGAACAUGGUGAAUGGACCAUUCACCGUAAUUGAACACGAUGAAUGAUUUACCGUGUCUAAGAAAAAUAUAUCAUUUACCGUGUUUGAAUGCGGUGAAUGAUUCACGGUGUUCAACUUAUCACCCCUCCAGCUUUUACAAAAAUAAUUUAUAAAAUUUAAAUUUUAUAAAAAUAUAUUUGUUUGUUAUAAUCGGAACGACGAAAAGUAGAUCCAGAAAAUAAUUUAAUGCAGGAAAAGAAAAGAUAAGGAAAGAGUACACCGAUAUUUACGUGGUUCGGCCAACAGCCUACGUCCACGGGCGAAGACGGAGCAAAUACUUUGUUAAUGUCGAAAAGGCGGAAUACAAAGAAGAUUUCUCGAAAAAUAACCAAAGCUUAAUUAGAUCGAAACGCCGCAACAAGCAACUCCAAAAUUGGCUUCUCUCUCACCCGUACGACGUAUGGCUAAAUUAAAGUAGCCGCGGAUUCUUGACCGUACGAAACGUGCAUAGCUUGGCUUAAUUAGAGUGUGGCUUCUAAUCAGCCGCAGCUCCUGACCGUACGGACCGCAAGACCAACAUGGAUUGCUUAAUUAGAGCCCCGGCAGCUCAGAAUAAUUAGCACAUGGCAUCUAAUUUUGGUCGCGGCAUUAUUAACUUAGCCGUAGCGUAUCUAUUACUCUAUGUGAAUUCCCAAUAAUUUUGCCACGUGGCAAGUUUUUCUCCACUCUCACUAAUCUUUUUUUUGAAUUGAUUUUUACUCUUGGCUUUUCCACUCCCAUCUUCUUUAUUCAAUGACAUGUAAUUAAUGUGCUUUUUAAUUUAUACGUUUCCUAUUCAAAAUUACUUUUUUUGAAUUGAUUCUUACUCUUGGCUUUUCUCCUCCCCUCCUCUCUAUUCAAUGACAUAUAAUCAAUGUGCUUUUUAAUUUAUACGUUUUCUCUUCACAAUUAGUCCUUUCUUCUCCCACAAAUAAUUCCUAACAUGCAAAAUUAGAAAAGGAGAAGAUGAAUAGUUACUACUUUCAGAUCUAGAGAUUGGGGAAUAGUAAGGGAGUUUUCCAAGCUCUAAUCCGUGCCAAUCCGACUCGACCCGAACCCCCCCCCUCCGAAUCAAAAGAGUGUUUAUAGGGUUUCUAUUAAUGCCGAUCUCUUCGGAUUUAUGGAAAAAUAAGGUAAUCGAACGGUUUUUCAAUAGAGAAAGCUAAUUGGAGAGCAAUAAUGGACGGUUCGAGGGGUAGGUUUGGAAAACGAAAAUCCUAAACCUAAUUUUUCUUUUCUUUAUUUUAAUCUCGAAUUCUUACUAUGUAUUCAUUUAGAAUUUAAUUUAUUUGCAUUAUUUUUUAUAUGGUGAUUGUAUCAAUUAAGGACUUGAUUUAUAUGCAUUAUUUUGAUUAAUUUAGAGGUUAUUUUUUAUUUCAUAAUUGAUGUGGCAGGUUUGGCCCACAACUUUUGAUCAUUCCAUGCUCAAAAGGGUGCAAAAUUUUGCAAAUUUUUAUCAGAUUUUCAUCGCCAUCGUCGUCAUCAUCGCAACAUUAUUAUCUCCAUCUUCAUACGACCUUUGUAGGUUUUUUUUUUUUGAAUGUUGAUUCUGGGCAGUUAUCAAUUUUCAAUGGCUAUAUUGGUUAGUUCAAUUCAUACGUUUCCCUACCCAAAAAAUAAAACACUCUUAAAUUUUUAUUUUCCAAACUUCUUUCUUCUUACUCUUCAAUAUUUUUUAAUUUUUUUUCUAUUAUUUAUCCGCGGCAUCGCGCGGGUUAGUACACUAGUAUAUAUAUAUAAUACAUGUUUUCUAAUUAAAGUCUAAUUCUAAUUAGAUUAGAAUUACACUCCUAAUUAUAAUCUAUAAAAUAUAUAUGCUAAAUUAAAUCUAAAUUAUAUCCAAUCCCAAAUAAAUUAGGAUUUAACUCUAAUUUAGAUAACUACAAAUCUAAACCAAAUAUAAAAAUAAUUUACUAUAUUUUGGCAACCUGUAUGUAAUUAACCUAAAAAUUUUCGUCUUAUGAGUGGAGGAGGACAUCAGUAAUUAAAGGGCUUUCUUUGCAAAUAGCCCCCUGAAAAAUUUUAUUUGCGCAAAUAGCCCCGUCUAAAAAUUAUUUGCAAAAAUGGCCCUGGCCCUGCCACGCCAGCGCCACGUCAGCGCCACGCGAGCAGGGCCUGGGCCAGGUGGCUAAGUUGAACACGGCAAUUGGUUCACCGUGUUUAGACACGGUGAACCAAUCACCGUGCUCAUUGUAUUACUCCCGCCCACGACGGGGUGUUAGUAUUACAUUAGACACGGUGAUUCGUUCACCGUGUCUAAACACGGUGAACCAUUCACCGCGUCUAAACACGGUGAACUAUUCACCGCGUUUAGACACGGUGAACCAAUCACCGUGUCUAAUGUACUACACACCAUUUCGCGGGUGCCAAAUAAGGCAUAGAACACGGUGAUUGGCUCACCGUUGUAUUAGACACGGUGAACCAAUCACCGUGUCCAAUGUAUCACUCCAGCCCAAGGCGGAGGGUUGGUACCACACUUAAACACGGUCGAUACGUUCACCGGGUCUAAACAUGGUGAACUGUUCACCGCAUUUAGACACGGUAAACGGUUCACCGCGUAUAGGACACGGUGAACGGAUCGCCGUGUCCAAUGCAUGGGCCGGGUGCGGCUGCGAGAAAAUCUAACACGGCCUGGCCCAGUUCGUUAACCAAGCGCCUAUGGCCCAAUAAAGAAAGUCGGGCCAGAUCUAAAAGUGCGGCUGCGAGAAAAUCUAACACGGCCUGGCCCAGGAACCGAAUCAAUGCACGGGCCGGGUGCNCCUGGGCCAGGCCGUGUUAGAUUUUCUCGCAGCCGCACUUUUAGAUCUGGCCCGACUUUCUUUAUUGGGCCAUAGGCGCUUGGUUAACGAACUGGGCCAGGCCGUGUUAGAUUUUCUCGCAGCCGCACCCGGCCCAUGCAUUGGACACGGCGAUCCAUUCACCGUGUCCUAUACAACCCUAUACCCCGAAAAUGGCUAAGUCUGGUAAACCCUAAACCUUCGAAAAUGGUUAAGUCUGGUAAACCCUAAACCUUGAACUAACUGAAUUGGACACGGUGAACCAUUCACCGUGUCCAAUACAACUAGCCACACCUAAGCCGUAUUUGGCCAAAUAUGGAAGUAAAGGACACGGUGAUUAGUUCACCGCGGUGAAUAGUUCACCGUGUUUAGACACGGUGAAUGAAUCACCGUGUUUAGACACGGUGAACGAAUCACCGUGUCUAAUGUAAUACUAACACCCCGUCGUGGGCGGGAGUAAUACAAUGAGCACGGUGAUUGGUUCACCGUGUCUAAACACGGUGAACCAAUUGCCGUGUUCAACUUAGCCACCUGGCCCAGGCCCUGCUCGCGUGGUGCUGAUUUGGCGCUGGCGUGGCAGGGCCAGGACUAUUUUUGCAAAUAAUUUUUAGAUAGGGCUAUUUGCGCAAAUAAAAUUUUUCGGGUGGCUAUUUAAUUGAAAUUUUCGUCUAAUAAGUGAGGGAGGAGGCCAUCAGUAAUUGGUGUAUUCUAGACUCUUUCGUGUCUUCGGGAGGUACAAGGCGUGCUCCUUUUCUUGCUAUGACGAACUCCCACAUCACCAAAGAGAGGGGAAAAAAAAAAAAAAAAGGAGGGAGAAAACACAUUUCUCUCUCCUUUGAUCCUUUCCCGGAAACCAAACAUCGCAUUACAGAAUCUGGCAAUGGCGGGGCAGCGCGCUGGAUGNGGCCAUCAUUUAUAAUGAUGAUGAUUAUCAUCAUAAUCUUUAAAGGCGCUUCGACUUCAUGUGAGGAUGCCUCCGUUGUCGACGGCAUUGGAUCAGCAUCUUCUUGCUCCCUUUCAUAUUUUUUGAUCCUGGCUGAAGUAACUAUCAUCAUUUUUUCUUUUUCUUUUUAUUCUACUUCUCCAUUUCUCUUCUUGAUGCCUCCUCUUCCUCCUCCUUGUUGUUGUUACUGUUACUGUGUUCGUGUUGGUGUUGGUGUUGGUGGUGGUGGUGGUGGGGGUGGGUGGAGCCUACCGUCUCCCCGCCCUAUCCUGAAAGGUUUCAGGAAAACCCACAAAACUUCGCCUUUCGGGGUAAAGAUGUAUAAAACUUUCCGCAACUAUCAUCCUUUUCGAUCUGACUACCUAACAGUUAAAAGUUUGGAUUUUACUACCCGUUCUUUCAAUUUAUUUGAUUUAAGCCGAUUAGUAAGCAACUAUGAAUUCAUUAAAGUAAGCAAUUAGUUUAAAUUUUGAAGUCCGAUUAUCGUUGACCGACUCAAAUCGAACAAAUUGGAAAGUUCGGUGGUAAAAUCAAAAUUCUGGGAGGUCGGGUGGUCGACUCAAAAUGAGGCAUUUAGGUUCUCGCAGUUGGUGCUUGGCAUGGUCAUGGUAAUCUUGGAAGGCUCUGCUCUUCUACAGGCAACCACUUUUCCAUGCGAUGUCUUGUGGUGUACUGCAGUACUGUGUUUCGUACCAAUUUUUCCGUGCAGGUGUUUUGGAGCGGAAAUUGGAAUCAUGGUAGAUCCGACUGGAACCGUUGGGUUUGCUUAGACUUGCUGAAAUCACUUCAAACCGGUGGAAAUCAAUUCAAACCACACCUGCUAAUGUUUCCAAGGAUUUACAUGUUCUUGGUUGCAAUUUCAUCCAAAUCAGUGAUUUGGAGGAUCCGAAACUGGGUGCAAAGGAGGCUGUGAUGGUUGCCAACCUGGGUGCUAAUGCUUUGUCCAAGCCAUUUCUUCUUUACCCAGUGUAUACAGCGAAAACAGCUCUUUUAAUAUCAUUUCUUCUUCGGCAAAUUGGAUGGUCUGCUAAUUUAGCAGGCAACCUUAUGCUAGCAUCCAUUGUUAUGGUGCAUGGAUUUUAUGAUGCUUUCUGAGUAAGGCCGGGGAAAUGGUUGUGAACAAACAAAUUGAGGCUUUCGGUGGGUCUCUUGCUGUGUCAUCAACCAUAAUAUUGAUUAGCGACAUAUUGCCGUUCACUCAACUUAAUUGGCUUGUGAGACUUGAUAGCAACAAUCAAGAAAGUUCGAGUCGAAAUUGCAACAAUUAUAUUUUGAGGACUAAAGUGUUACCUGCCUCAUUGUUUGAGGACCAAAAGUGUAAUUUAGCCUUAUUUUAUCUAACAAACCACUGAGCAGGUAAGAAUUUUCUUGCUAAAUUGCAUGUUUGGUCCUCAAACAAUGUGUAACACUUUGGUUCUCAAACUUUAAUCUGUUACAAUCUAGCCUGAACUUUUUGAAUUGUCGCAAUCAAGUCCUGCAAUCCAAUUUAGAUGACUAAAUAUUGAUGCAUCAUUGAUGUAAUAGUGAUGUGACAUUUUAUUUUUUGUCUCAUCAUCAAUUACCAUAUUGCUACCGUCACUUUCACAUUACCGACAUAUCAAUAUUUAGUCAACUAAAUUAGAUUGUAGGACUUGAUUGCAACAAUUUGAAUCAGAAAUUACAAUAAAUUAAUGUUUGGUCCUUGUCAUGUGUCUCAAAGUUUGAGGACAAAAUGUGCAAUUUACCCUAAUUUUCCUCAUCUCAGUGGCAGCUCUCAAUUGGAAGGUCUGCUGUUUUGCAGGCAACCUUGUUCUGUCAUUUGUCUUCAAGGUGCAUAAGACUCUCAUGAUGCCUCUUGAUAUGAUCAAAUGGCAUGUUGAACCCUCUCUUUCCUUCUACUUGAAACAUUCGUUCUACUUUCUUUUCAGCUUUUAAUAUUUCUCAUGUCGACCGUCCGUGUGUCCUCAUGUUGACUGUAUGCUUCAAUCAGACAGGCACUUAAUGUUUUAUCCCAUGUUAAGUAUUUUUUUCCCUUCAUUUUACUUGUCAAAGGAGGCUGUGAUGAUUGUCGGUUGGGAAUGCACCUCAGCUUAUUUUAUCCCGGCUUUUGCUUCUCGGCGGAGUACAGAAGCUGAUAAGGAUACUGGAUAUAAGAGGCAAUAUAGUCAACUCAAACCUAAGAUUUUGGUUGGGUUUUGACAAGUCGGGUGGGAUUUGAAUCUGGUUUGUUAGUUUGCUUUGUCCUUUUACAACCCUUGGGAGCCUUUCACUUUGUUCAUUUGUGGGAUAGACAACAUCUCAGUGGGUGGUUUUUGGCUGACAUGAUGCACCAGGUGCAGGCAAUAAUUUUUCCUUUCUGGGCAGCUCGUGAGGCCAACAUUAAGUACCCGUAGCAGUAUUUAAUUGGAAGGCCUUGCAGGCAAGCCUAUGCUGUCACGUCUUUAAGGUGCAUGAGAUUACAAGAUCCCUCAUGUGGUGAUUAAGCGGCAUGUCUGAGUCUCCAUUUUAUUUUCCUACUUCCUUUUUAGCUAUUGAGAUUUGGUUGUUCACGUUUGUUUUCCCCCUCGCUUUCUUACUGCAUAUAGAAGCUAGGAUGGGUUGUUUUAAAUAUUCCUUAUCAAACCGUUGAAACAUGACUUCAUGCUGGUUGAUGGUAAAUUUUCUAUCCUAUAUGUAUUCAGAUCAGAGGGAAUUUGUUAAUCUUUCGGAUUUUGAUAAGAACUAAAUAUAAGAAAGAUUUGGAUGCUAGGUAUAUAAAUAUUUGGGUUAAUUUCUUCAAUCCCUUCCUUAAAGAUUGUAAUUUCAUAAAGACUCCUUCAAAUUGUAAAGGGUUUAGGGUUGCAUGCAUACAUCUCUCUCUUUUGCAUCUGAUCGACAUCAAGUUUCUAUAUUUAUAUUGGGUUUCUUUGCAUUUUAAAGUUAUACAAAAUUGUUGCAGGGCAUGCAAUCAAAACGGUUGCUCAAUCAAUAGCUUCACUUGAGCCCUAUUAUGUUAUUUGAUAAAGUUUUGGGAUUUAUUUGUUAAAAAGUAGAAGUUUUAGCACCUGUUUGCAAAAGUGUUAGAGUUUAGGGAGGCUUUGUACAUUGUUUCAAUUAUUAAUGUUUACUAAAAAAUGUAUGUUGGGCGCAAACAUUGCAUCCUUUUGGGCUAUUUAGAGAGGCAAAAUACUGUGAGCCCUCAAUUACGGAUGUAUGGGUAUGCCUUCGAGGCGAUACGAGCUAGAGAGCCUAUGUUGGGGGAAAAACAAAGUACUGGGCGUGCUCCCUUCUUGCUGCAAGCUCCUCUGUCUCUUCACUCCCACACUGAGAAACCAAACACCCCCUUAGAGAAUCUGGUAUUGGCGGGGCAGCAUUGGAUGGUUUGCUGUUUGUAGGCUACUGAGCUGCAGCCAUUAUUCCAGAAUUGGUGCGGCAACGGCAGCGGUGGCGAUCAUUUUGUGGCCAUCAUUUAUAAUGAUGAUGAUUAUCAUCAUAAUCUUUAAAGGCGCUUCGACUUCAUGUGAGGAUGCCUCCGUUGUCGACGGCAUUGGAUCAUCAUCUUUUUGACACCUCUCAUAUAUUUUGAUCCUGGCUGAAGUAACUAUCAUCAUUUUUCUUGUACUUAGCCAUUCUUUGCUUGAUGCCAUUUUGUUGUUAUUGUUAUUAUUAUUAUUAUUGUUAUUGUUAUUGUCGUAGUGGUGGUGGUCGUGCAGGUGGGUGGAGUCUGCUCUCUCUCUGCCCCCUGUGAAAAGGGAAACCCACAGAACUUCGUUCUGUGGGGUUGACCAAGCCUUCUCUCUCUCUCUCUCUCUCUCUCUCUCUCUCUCUCUCUCUCUAUAUAUAUAUAUAUAUAUAUAUAUAUAUAUAUAUAUAUUGAGUUCGGCUAUGGUGCUUUUAAAAGCACCAAGCACUUGGUCCUUGUAAGUUUUUGUAAGUUUCCCAUUGUUAGAUUUAUCUCUUUGACCAAUUCCACCCCUAAGAUUAUACUAUUCGACCAACUACCCGCUCAAAUCUUGGGGACAACUAUUAUCCUAACCCUACAAAUCUUCAUCCUAGGCCGAAAACCUACAAGCACCAAUGACUUGGCACUUUUAAAAGCAUAGGAGCUCAAUUCUAUCUAUCUAUCUAUCUAUCUAUCUAUCUAUCUAUAGACAUAUAUGUAUAUAUAUACAGUUUGUGUGUGGGGAAUAUAAGGGGAAAAAAAACAACAAUCAUGCCACAUGAGGCAUUAAGUUUUCAGCGGUUGGUGCAUGGCAUGGUAAUAUUGGAAGGCUUUGCUUCUCUGCAGGCAACUAUUUUUUCAUGUGAUGUCUUGCUUAGACUUGCUGAAAUUAUUGAGAACAAGCUUAUUAAAGCUUUCGAUGAGUCUCUUUCCACGUCAACAACCACAACACUGUCACAUUACUGUUGCAUUAGUGGGACAUUACCGAAAGUAAGUUGGCCUAUGAAACUUGAUUGCAACAAUCAAAAAAGUUUGAGCUAGAAAUUGCAGCUAUUAUGGUUUGAGGACCAAAAGUGUAAUUUAGCCUUAUUUUAUAUAACAAACGACUGGGCAAGCAAUAAUUUUCCAAUCUCGGCACCUAUAACUGCACUCAAUUGGAAGGCCUGCUAUUUUGCAGGCAACCUUGUUAUGUCGGUUGUCUUCAAGGUGCAUAAGACUAUAUGAUGCCUCUUGAUAUGAUCGAAUGGCCAGUCGGAGCCUCUCUAUCCUUCUACUUCCUUUUCAUCUAGUAAUAUUUCUCAUGCUGACUGUCGAUGUUCUCAUGCUGACUGUAUGCUUCAAUUAGACAGGCCCUUAAUGCUUCAUGCAAAUGUUAAGGAAGCGUCUCUCCUUUAUGUUACGUUUCGAAGGAUGUUGUGAUGAUUGGCGGUUGCGAAGGCACCUCAACUUGUUUUUUUCUUGGCUUUUGAUUCUUAGAGCGUGUUUGGUUCACUUCUUUUUCACUCUGGAAUCGAAAUCGGAAUGGGUGAAUCUGUUUGUGGGUGUUUGGUAUGCGGGAGUUCCAUUCCCAUUCCUAUUCCCGAGUGGGAUGGGAAUCCCCUAAUCAUCUCUUUUUCCAAUCCGGUCUAGUAGGCCGGAUUGACAGUUGAAUCCAGACGGAAUGGAUAUUUAUUCGGAUUAAAUUAAUUUUUUCAACUUUUUUAAAUUAAAAUAUGAGUUUAAAUUUAGAAAUUAAAUUUAUAAUUUUAAAUUUUAAUUUGAAUUUGAAUUAAAAAUUAAAAUUUAAUCAAUUAUUUUGAAUCUAACUUAUAAAUUUGAAUUUAAAUUAAAUUUUAAUUUAUAUAAAGUUUUAUUCAAAUUUUAUUUAAAACUUAAAUUAAAUUUAUGGAUUCAAAUUAAAAUUAAAAUUGUAAUUUUAAGUUUGAAUUUGAAUAAAUCGAAAUUUAGUUUUAUAUUUUGAAUUAUCCACUCAACUUCAAAGUUUAAUUUUUUAAAAAAAAAUAGAUUUAAAAUUUUGACAUUAUUUCAAAAUUUUGAUGUAAAUUUUUAAUAUUUAAUUUUCAGUUUGAAUUUAAAUUAAUAUAUUAUAAAGAUAAAGUUAGUAUAUUAAUUUGAUUACGUUUUUUAUAUCUAUCUGAACAAAACACCGACAAUGGGAAUGAUUUAUUCCGAUUCCGAUUCAGGUAAUGAAUCAAACAGAAUUAGGUAAUGAGUCAUUCCAAUUCUGAUUUCAGCUUAUUUCGAUUCCGAUUCUGAUUCCGAUUCCAACUUCGAACCAAACGCGCCCUUAAUGGAGUGCAGAAGCUGAUCGAAAUACUGGAUAUAAGAGGUAGUAUGGUCAACCCUAAAAACUGCACUUUUGCAUUAAAAAAAAUCCCUUUCAUGAAUAACUGUAGAAACGGAUGGUCUGCACUUUUGCAGGCAACCUAGCAGUUACAUGCUGUUUUUUGUGGUUUGUACUUUUAAGCUGUUUCUUUGCGACAUCAUUUGCCUAGUGAUCAAGCAAUGCCAAAUACAUCGUAUAUUAGACAUUAAAAUUGUUGAUUUCUGGACAACUUGACUACUUAGCAAAUGAUAUCAAAGAAUGAUGAAGUUUGAAACCUAGAAAGUUGAAAUAUCCUAGAUCAUGUUUGACGGUGCUGAUGGUCUAUCCAGAUGCCCCAUUAUCGGAAAUGACACGGAAGUGAGCUGUACUUGUAGAAGUAUUCUAGCCUCUCCUUUUCUCUCUCUCUCGAUCUCGAUUUUCUAGGUUGAAAUAUAGAGCAAAAAGUUGGUGGUGGCACUAUUAUGGAUCAAUAAGGUCUAAGGUUCACUUCUUGAAGAUCCCCCUGCUCCCCCCCCCCCCCUUCAAAAAUAAACAAAAAAAAAACACACACACACACACACACACACACACACACACACAAAAAGGAAAAAAAAAAAACUCAAAAUGCAGUUCCUCGUGGAAACUGGCUCCUGCUCGGCAUGCUAUCUUGAACGGCUAGCUCCGAUGCAGACAACCAAUAUUUGCAUCUAUACAGGGGAUUUUAAUCCUCAGUUUGCUAUUUUGAAGCAACAAGUGUCGGAUUGUACGUUAUCUGAAUGUACAUGUUCUUUGAGGAAUGGCUAUGAUGACUGCCUGGAUGCACCAGAACUGAAGCAUUUGACUGAAACGUAGCUUGGCAAUCUUUGGAAGGCUUGCAAUUCUGUGAGCAACCAUUAUGCAGCUGUUUGUGUAGUUCUGUGAAGAUUCUGAUGAAAAGGCCAGAUCUGAGCCACCUCCCUUCUCAGCAUCAUCUUCGUUAAAUUAUGAAAAGCUUUCUUGUACUUUAUCCUCUGUCACAAUUAUCUAACUGCUCGAGAAAGAUGGACUGUAGACAACCGUCCGCUUGUAGACAUCUUUGACUCUAUGGUAAACAGUUGCGACAUGUUUGUUGGGUAAAUGAAAGAAAUAUGUUGAACAAGAUGGUUGUGUGUCGAAAGAAAUGAUCUGUGCUGCUGUUUAAAGCUGCAUUCUUAUGUCUUUCCAUGUGGCAGCUGUGAUGAUUGCCAAGUAUGGAAGCAUCAAAACCCUUGAACAUUAGACUACACUUUGAUCUGCACAGCGUGGCAACUUUUGGACGGCUUGUUUAGCAAGCAUCCAUUUUGCGUUUGUAUGUGUAGUUCGCAAAUGCUCAUAAAAAUGGGGUGAAAAUGUGCAGAACUUAUCUGAACUAUGGACCAUUUCGAGAAAGGCAGAUUGUAGACAACCGUCCGCAUGUUUGUUGUGUAGACAUCUUAGACUCUAUGGUUAACAAUUGCGGCAUAUUUGUUGGGUAAAUAAAAGAAAUAUGUUGAUGGUCAUGUGUCAAUAGAGGCUCUAAAUUUGCACUUUUGUUCUGCGCCACAAAUGAGCUGUGCUGCUGUUGAAAGAUGCAUUGUUACCUCUUUCUAUGUGGUGGCUGUGAUGAUUGCCAUGUAUGGAUGCACCAAAUCCCUACAACAUUUGACUAAACUUUGAUCCGCACAGCUCGGCAACCUUAGGAAGGCUUAUUUUGCAAGCAUCCAUUUUGCUUUGUAUGUGUAGGUUUGCGAAUGCACACAAAAAUGGCAGAUCUGAGCCACAGCGUCUAAAUAUCUCCUUUUCCUUGUUUAGAACUAACAAUUUUUUACCCCUUGCUUGCUCUUGUUUAAAGAACUUCUGUUUGCUAAAUCGCCUCUUGCAACAAGGUGGUUAGUUGAUAAGAGGAAAAAUGUUCCUUUAUGACAAUAUAUGUUUUUGAAGUUUAGUGGUGAUAAUUACACCGCAGUUGGAGGGGGUUUGGCAUAUUUUUGUCUUUAAAUAUGGCCCGCAGGUAGUGUAGUUUUAACAGAGCAUUAGACCUGCCUGGCAGGAACAUUGGAUGGCCUGCUUAUAUGCUGGCAACCAAUUUUUGAUGCUGUAAGCUGGAGUUUGUACCGAGGUUCGUAUUAUUAGCGUUGAGCAUCGCGAUGUAACUUUUUGUAGUUGUACAGAGCCGAAGAAUUGCUCUUUUGCAUCCUUCUUCCUUAGUGGGUAAUCAAAAUUUCCACAAAAUUGGAACUUCAAAUCUCACUUCUUUCAAGUUUAUCCCCAAACCGGUUUUCUAUAAAAAUAAACUGAACAUGCGACUUCGGCAAUGCUGAGGACUCAUAGGGGUGACACGGUCGAAUACGGUCGGAUUUUUGAUGAAACCAUAUCCGUAUCCAUUUCGUAGGCUAAUUCGGGUAUGAUGAUGUUGGAUUCGAUCGGAUUUUAUCCUAACCAUUUUCACCCCUACUUGUGGUACAUUUAUUCAGAGGAAAAAUACUCUUGAGCCCUCCAAUGAGGGAUGGACGGAUGGAUGGACGGACGGGUACAUCGCUAAGGCGAUACGAAAGAGAGAACCCUGCGUUGGGGACAAGCAGAAAUGCAGGGAUGCUCCCUUCUUCCUGUAAGUCCCUCUGUCUCCUACUCUCUUCCACCCCAAAAAAAGGAAAAAAAAAAAAGAAAGAAAGAAGAAAGUCAUUUGUCUCGUUUCCCAUCUCUUCCUUUCCUCAAGUGUUUUUAGGUUAGACAGGGAAUGUGGUAAUGGCGGGGCAGUUCUGGACGGUCUGCUCUUCUGCAGGCUACUGAGCUGCAGCCAUUACUCCGGAAAUACAUUGGCGGGAGUGACGGUGGUCAUUCAUAAUGAUGAUGAUGAUGAUGAUGAUGAUGAUGAUGAUGAGGAUUAUAACCUUUGAAGGUGCUUCAGCUUUGUCUGAGGAUGCUUCCGGUGUCAAUGGCACUGGAUCAUGUUCCUCUUGAUACCUCACCUAUCUUCUUGAUACCUCACCUUUUUCUUGAUCCUCAUUAAAGCAGCUAUCAUUUCCUCCUACUUCCUUUCUUGAUGCCCUAUUGUUGUUGUUGUUGUUGUUGUUGUUGUUGUUGUUGUUAUCAUUAUUAUUAUUAUUAUUAUUAUUGUGGUGGUGGUGGUGGUGGGGGUGGAUGGAGUCUACCAUCUCCCUGCCCCUUCGUAAAAAGGGAAGCUUUCGUUUCUCGGGGUUGACCGAGCCCACACAUAUAUAUGUGUGUGUGCGCGCGUGCGCUUUUAGAAGCAUAUACUUUGAACUUUUGGACCCUUGGAUCCCUAUGGUUUACUAGCUAGUGAUGGUUAAAGUACGGAUCCAAGGGCUCAAAAGUUUAAGUUGUAACUUCUCAAAGCAGCAUAAGCUCUAUUCUAUAUAUAUACACACACACACACUGUUGGUGUUUGAGGGUUGGAAAAAAAAAAAACAACAGGAACAAUUCUAGAUGAGGGCUAAAGUUUCAGCAGAAGGUGGAUAGCAUGGUUAUCUUGGAAGGCUCUGCUGUUCUGCAGGCAAGCAUUAUUCUAUGUGAUGUCUUGCGAUGUACGAGAAGAGAUAUCUAUUCCUUUUUCUCAUGCAAUACUCUGUUUGGUGCCAAAUCAUUAUAGAAUUGAAUAUAUUUGCAAUUCCAUGAGGGCAUUUGUAUUGCAGAAAAUGCAAACUAUGGCAAAUCUGACCACAAACCAGUGGAUUUGCUUUAUCGGAAAUAAAUUUAAAGUACACCUGCUAAUGUCUACAAGGAUGAACCAGUUCUUCUUGGCAAUUUCAUCCAAAUCAGUGAUUUGGAGGAUUCCAAACAGGGAAUGAACAAGGCUUCGAUGAUUGCCAAUCUGGUUGCCCACAGUUUGCCCUUGCCGUUUCUUCUUUACCAUUGUACAGUGUAAACAUCUCUUAUAAUAUCAGUUGUUCCGUAAAUUGGAUGGUCUGCUAAUUUAGCAGGCAACCUUUGAAGCUUUUGAUGAGUCUCUUGCCAUGUUAUCAAUCACAGUACUUCUACAUCACUCCCUUAUCAGUGAUACAUCAUUUAUUCUACUAAAUUGGACUAUGGAACAUGUUGCAACAAUCAAGAAAUGUUGAUUCAGAAGUUGCAACAAAUUAAAGUUUAAGGACUAAAGUGUCAUCCGCCUUAUUGUUUGAGGACCAAACGUGUAAUUUAGCCUUAUAUUAACUUACAAAGCACCCAGGAUAAAAAGAAAGUACUGGAUUUUUUUUUUCCCCCUAGAGAAGCUUUCAAUGGCUUGCGAUGCAUCUGCUGUAUGCAAUAAUUUUCCUAUCUCAGCUGCUCACUAGGGCAGCCUUGCGGGGUAGCUGUAGCAGCACUCAAUUGGAGGGUCUGCUGUUUUGCAGGAAACCUUGUUCUAUCAUAUGUCUUUAAGGUACACAAGGUUACAUAAUGCCUGAUCGAAUGGCAAGUCGGAGCCUCUCUUUCCUUCUACUAUCUUUUCAACUAUCAAUAUUCUCAUGCUGACUGUAUGAAUGUCCUCAUGUUGACUGUAUGUUUCAAUCAGACAGGCCCUUAAUGUUUCAUGCUAUGCUAAAGAAGUGUUUCUCCUUCAUUUUAGUUGUCAAUGGAGGCUGUGAUGAUUGCCGGCUGGGGAUGCACCUCAGCUUCUUUUAUCCUUGCUUUUGACUCUUGGCGGAGUAAAGAAGCUGAUCGAAAUACUGGAUAUGAGAGGCAAUAUAGUCAGCUCAAACCAAACAUGUUUGUUGGAUUUUGACAAUUCUGGUGGGAUUUGAGUCUGGUUUGUUGGUUUUCUUGGUCCUUUUACGCUCCUUGACAGCCCUUUGCUUCGUUCCUUUGGGUGGUCUUGGGUGACAUGAUUCACCGGGUGCAGACAAUAAUUUUUCCUUUCUAAGCAGCUAUAAGGCCAACAUCAGCUACCUGUAGCAGUACUUAAAUUGGAAGGUCUGCGGUCUUGUAGGUAACAUUAUGCUGUUACGUCUUCAAGGUGCAUAAGAUUGCAGGACCCCUCAUAAGAUAUGAUUAAAUGGCAUAUCUGAGCCUCCAUUUUCUUCUCCUAAUUCAUUUUUUGCUAUUCAGUGGUACACUCUUCCCUCACCACCCCCCCCCCCCCCCCCNNNNNNNNNNNNNNNNNNNNCCCCCCCCCCCCCCCCCCCCCCCCCCCCCCCCCCCCCCCCCCCCCCCCCCCCCCCCCCCCCCCCCCCCCCCCCCCCCCCCCCCCCCCCCCCCCCCCCCCGCUCCUCUGGCUUUCUUGCUGCAUGUAGAAUCUAGGAUGGGUUGUUUCAUAUUUUCCUUAUCAACUUCCUGGAACCCUGCGUAAUGCUGGUUGAUGACAACUGGAUAGUUGUUCGGGGGUCUAUUUCAAAAUGGCCUAUAGUUGUGGGGAUCAUCAUACUAUUUAUCCUUCUCAAUAUAUUUGAGGGUUAUCCCAAUAUUGUGACUUAGUCCUCGAACCUAUUCCGUAAACACUUGUCCCUUAUCUUUCACAUAUUCUUGCAGUUCAUCCCUGGCCAUCACUUUGGUCCAUAUGUUCCAGGCAAGAUCUCUCAUUAGCACGCUUCAGUGUAAUUUAAUCACUAGAGGAUUGGCGCGUGAGUCGUAAUUGGGGGCAAGAAGAAGUACAGGGCAUGCUCCCUCCUUUGUAUAAGCCCCGCUGUCUACUUUCUCUUGCACCACAAAAAGCAGAAGAAAAAAAGAAAACAUUUUAAUGUUGAUAUGGGAUGGUGAUAAUAGUUUAAGAAGCUUCGGCUUCAUUUGAGGAUGCCUCCUAUGUUGAUGGCGUCAGAUUGCCAUCUUCUUGAUUCCUCUCAUAUUUCUAGAUUCUAGCUAAAGCAACUAUUAUCUUUUUUUUUAAUUACAUCUCCAUUUCUCUUCUUGAUGUCUUAUUUUUUUCUUCUUCUUCUUCUUGUUAAUUGCUGCUGUUAUUGUUAAUUUUACUAUAGUGGUGGUGGUGGUGGGUGGAGUCUAUCGUCUCCCCAUCCCCUCCCGAAAGGGAAAACCCAAAAAACUUCGCUUUUCGGUUUUGACCAAGCCUUCAUUCUUGGUUUUGGCUGUAUAUAUAUAGAGAGAGAGAGAGUUUGCGAUUAACUAUUUAACCCUUGGAUUUCAGCAGUAGGUGCAUGGCAUGGAAAUCUUGGAAGGCACUACUCUUCUACAGGCAACCAUUUUUCCAUGUGAGGCCUUGAAUGUACCAGAAGAUAUAUCUACUCCUUUUCUAAUGUAAUACUCUGUUUGGCACCAAAUCGUUGUAGAAGUGAGUAUAUUUGCAAUCCUGUGAGGGCAUUUUUGGAGCAAAAAUGCAAAUUAUGGUAGAUCCGACCACAAACCAGUGGAUCUGCCUAGAAUUGCUGAAAUCAUUUGAAACCAUUGAAAAUCAAUUCAAUCCACACCUGCUAAUGUUUCCAAGGAUUAACGAGUUCUUGUUUGCAAUUUCGUUCAAAUCAGUGAUUCAAAGGAUUCUAAACAGGGUGCAAAGGAGGCUGUGAUGGUUGCCAACCUGGGUGCCAACGGUUUGUCCAAGCCAUUUCUUCUUUGCUGAGUGUACAAAAUAAACAGCUCUUUUAGUAUCAGUUCUCCUUUGGUAAAUUGGAAGGUCUGCUAAUUUAGCAGGCAACCUUUACCACCAUAUAUUAUAAUGGUGCAAGAAUUAUAUGAUGCCUUUUGAAUAAAGUGGGGGAAAUGGUUGAGAACAGACUAAUUGAAGCUUUAGGUGGGUCUCUUGUGAUGUCAUCGACAACAAUACUGCCACAUUACUGCUACAUAUGUGAGACAUCACCAUCCACUCAACUAAAUUGGCUUGUGAGAUUUGAUUGCAACAGUCAAGGAAGUUCGAGACAGAAAAUUGUAGCAAUUAUAGUUUGAGGGCCAAAGUGUCACCCGCCUCAUAGUUUGAGAACCAAAAGUGUAAUUUAGCCUUUAUUUUAGCUAACAAACCACUGAGGGUGAAAAGACAGCGUUUUCUAGGAACUGGCUCCUGUGAUGCACCAGGUGCAGGCAAUAAUUUUCCUCUCUAUGCUAUGUGUGGCAGCACUCAAUUGGAAGGUCUGCUGUUUUGCAGGCAACCUUGUUCUGUCCUUUGUCUUUAAGGUGCAUAAGACUACAUGAUGCCUCUUGAAAUGUUCGAAUAGCAGGUCAGAGCCUCCCUUUCUUGCUUUCUUUUCAGCUAAAAUGUAUAUCGUGCUGACCGUCCAUAUGUCCUCGUGCUGGCUGAAUGCUUCAAUUGGACAGACCCUUAAUGUCUUGUGCAAUGGUAAGGAAAUAUUUCUCCUUCAUUUUACUUGCCAAAGAAUGCUGUGAUGAUUGCCAAUUGGGAAGGCACGUCAACUUAUUUUAUCAUGCCUUUUGACUCUCGGCAGAGCACAAAAGCUGAUUGAAAUACUAGAUUUAAGAGGCAAUAUAGUCAGGUCAAACCAAAGAUCUUGAUUGGGUUUUGAUAAUUCGAGUGGCAUCUGAAUCUUGUUUGUUGGUUAGCUUGGUGCUUCUACACCCCUUGAGUGCCCGUCACACACUUGUAUGCUGAUUCAGAUGUGGAUAUCCAAGCAUACAUCUCUCUUUCUCUCUCUCUCUUUGUCACGCCCCAGUUUCUUGGAGCGCCACCCAUUCUAGAACUACUCUAGCCGUAGGUUUGCUCAACCCUCUUAACCUUUUGGGCUUAGCCGCUGCUCAAAAUGGUAUUGCUAGGUUAAGAGGUUUAUCUCUAUAAUACCUUAUAUAUAGGACUUCCAAAUCCUAGGGGUGUCACAUUCUCCUCUCGGUUACCUGCUUCCCUCUUUUAGGCUCUGACGUCCUCUCAGGUUCAAACACACUCACAAGCACCGCCGAUGUGAGACUCGUCUUCCUAGCCUUAGAUAACCUUGUGGGGAGCCGCGCUCCACCCACAAUGGCCGUCAGUCGGAGAGCCGUGCUUUUGCCCGUUUUAUGACCCUGGCUCAGCCAAGGAUCAUCUCACACUUAUGGUUGGUGAUUGGCUUUGAUACCAACUGACGCCUCGCUUCCCAGAGGGGUCAUCCAUCCAAGAACUACUCUAGCCUUAGGCUUGCUCAAUCCUCUUAAUCUCUUAGGCCUAGUCACUGCUCAAAAUGCUAUAGCCGGGUUAAGAGGUUUAGCCCUACUAUAUCUUAUAUAUAAAACUAUUCCAAAUCCCGGGAGUCUCCCUCCCCCUCUCCCCCUCCCACCCCCCCCUCCUGAUUGUCUCAUGCCCUAAUGACCAUUUAUAGUCAUAAUCUAUUUCAAGUAAUUUUGGAUUCGAUCAAAUAUCAUAUUUCUAUUUGUUAUAUAAAAUUAUGUGCAAGGCAUGUGAUCAAAACAGUAGCUCAAUUAGUAACUUCACCUGAACAGAGGGGUUCACUAAACUAUUUGAUAAAGUUUUUGCGGUUUUGUUGCCAAAAAGUAAAAGUUUAGGCUCCUGUUUGCAAAAGUGUUAAAGUGCAGAGUACUAAUUUUUGAUGUUUAUAUAUCUAAAAUCAUUUUCUUAAAAUGUAACUGGAAAUUGCCAAGCAGCUCUGGACUGUCUGCUCUUCUGCAGGCUACAGAGCUGCAGCCAUUAUUCCAGAAAUGUUGUGGCGGCGGCGGCUGCAGCUGCAGUUGGUGAUCAUUCAUAAUGAAGAUGAGGAUGAUGAUUAUAACCUUUAAAGAGGCUUCUACCGCAUCUAAAGAGGCCUCCUAUGUCGAUGGCAUCUGAUUGUCAUAUUCUGAUACGGUGAUACCUCUCGUAUUUCUCAAUCCUCGCUUAACUAUCAUCAAUUUUUUUUUCUACUUCUCCAUUUCUCUUCAUGAUGACUUGUUGUUGUUGCUGCAGCUGAUGGUGUUCUUGUUAUUGUUGCUGUUGUUAUUAUUAUUGUUAUUGAGGUCGUGGGGUUGGAGGUGGGUGGAGUCUGAAUGUCUCCCCGCCCCUUCCUGAAAGCCGAAACUUAGAAAACUUCGCUUUGCUGGGUUGACUAAGCCUUCAUUCUUGGUUCUGGUUAUAUAUAUCUAUAUAUAUAUAGAUAUAGAUAUAGAUAUAUAGAAACAGCUUGUAUUUGGGGGACAAAAAGGACAAAACAAACAGCAAUGAAACCAAAUGAGGCGUUAAGUUUACAGUAGUAGUUGCAUGGCAUGGUAAUUUGGAAGGCUCUGCUUUUCCGCAAGCAAUCAUUUUUCCAUGUCUUUUCUUUUUUAUACUUGGUGAAAUGGUUGAGAACAAACUGAUUGAAGCUUUUGGUUGUCUCUUGCGAUGUCAUCAACCACAAUGCUGCCACAUUACUGCUAUAUUAAUGAGACAUCACCAUUCACUUAACCAAAUUGGCCUGUGAGACUUGAUCGCAACAAUCAAGAAAGUACGAGCUACAAAUUGCGGCUAUUAUUGUUUGGGGACCAAAGUGUCACCUGCCUCAUAGUUUGAGGACCAAAAGUGUAAUUUAGCUUUAUUUUAUCUAUCAACCCUUGGAACAGGCAUUAAUUUUCCUAUCUCAGCACUCUGUUGGAAGGUCUGCUGUUUUGCAGGCAACCUUGUUCUGUCAUUUGUGAUGCCUCUUGAUGUGAACGAAUGGCAGGUCGGAGCCUCUCUGUCCUUCUACUUUCUUUUCACUGUUGAUAUUUCUCAUGCUGACCGUCCAUAUGUCCUCAAUCCUCUUGCUGACUGUAUGCUUCAACCGGAAGGCCCUUACUGUUUCAUGCAAUAUUAAGGAAGUGUUUUUCCUUCGUUGUACUUGUCAAAGGAGGCUGUGAUGAUUGCCACUUGGGAAUGCACCUCAACUUCUUUAAUCCUUGCUUUGGAUUCUCGGCGUAGUGUAGAAGCUGACCAAAAUACUGGGUAUAAGAGGCAAUAUAGUCAACUCAAACCUGAGACCUUGGUUGGGUUUUGACAGUUCGGGUGGGAUUUGAAUCUUUUUUUCUUUUUUUUUUUAAUUUUAUAUUUUAGUCCUUUUACACCCCUUGAGAGGCCUUUACGUGGUUCAUUUGUGGGAUAGACAGCAUCUCAGUGGAUGGCUUUUGGCUGACAUGAUCACCUGGUGUAGGCUAUAAUUUUUCCUUUCUCAGCAGCUCAUAUAACCAACAUUAAGUACCUGUAGCAGGACUUAAAUUGGAAGGUCUACUGUCUUGGAUGCAACAUUUUGCUGUCGUGUCUUUAAGGUGCAGAAGAUUGCAAGAUCCCUUGCGAGAUGAUUAAGUGGCAAAUCUGAGCCUCCAUUUUCUUCUCCUACUUUCUUUUAGCUAUUAGGAUUUGGUGGUACAUUAUUUAUUUUUCCCAUUUUUUCUUUUCCUCCUCUGGCCUUCUUACUGCAUGUAGAACCUAGGUGGGUUGUUUUCAAAUAUUCCUUAUCUACUACCUGAAAUGUGACACUCUACUUCAUGCUGGUUGAUGCUAAAUCAUUUAUCCUGUAUGUCUUCAGAUUUAGGCAACUUGUUAGUCUUUUAGAUUUUGAAAAGAACUAAAAACAGAUAAAGAUUCGGAUGUUUGGCAUGUAUAUCUGUAUAUUUGCAUGCUGAUUCAAAUGUGGGUAUCCAGCAUACUUGUAUAUCUACUUUUCCAUUUCUCUUCUUGAUGCCUUGUUGUUGUUGCUGCUGCUGCUGUUGUUAUUCUUGUUAUUAUUAUUAUUAUUACUAUUGUUAUUGUUAUUGUGGUCGCAAUGGUGGUGGUAGAGGUGGGGUGGAGUAUCGUCUCUCCGCCCCUUCCUGAUGGGGGAAACCCACAAAAAUUUGCUUUUCGGGUUGACCAAGCCUUCAUUCUUGGUUCUGGUUCUAUAUAUAUAUAUAUACAUACAAACUGUUUGUAUAUAGAGGAAAAAAGAAAAAGAAAAAAGCAACGAAACCAAAUGAAGCCUUAUUAAGGUUUCAGUGGAAGGUGCAUGGCAUGGCAAUUUUGGAAGGCUCUGCUUUUCUGCGAGCAACCAGUUGUCCAUGUGUUGCCUUGCUUAGAUUUGCCGAAAUGGCUGAGAGCAAACAAAUUGAAGCUUUCGAUGGGUCUCUUGGUUGUCAUCAACCACAAUACUGCUGCAUUACUGCUACUUUAGUGAGACCACCAUUUACUCAACAAAAUUGGCCUAUGAGACGAUUGCUACAAUCAAGAAAUUUUCGAGCCAGAAACUGCAAGUAUUAUAGUUUUGAGGACCAAAGUGUCAUCUGCCUCAUAGUUUGAGCACCAAAGUGCAAUUUAACCUUAUUUUAUCAAACGAACCAAGGAACAGGCAAUAAUUGUCCCAUCUCACCUGCCUGUGGCAGUACUCAAUUGGAACUCAAUUGGAAGGUCUGUUGUUUUGCAGGCAACCUUGUUCCAUCAUUUAUCUUAAAGGUGCAUAAGAAUACACGAUGCCUCUUGAUAUGAUUGAAUGGCAGGUCAGAGCCAACUUCUUUCAUCCUCUCUUUUGUUAUACUUGUCAAAGGAGGCUGUGAUGAUUGCCACUGGGGAAUGCACCUCAGCUUCUUUAGUCCUUGCUUUUGAUUCUUGUUGGAGUGCAGAAGCUGACCAAAAUACUAGGUAUAAGAGAGUCAACUCAAACCUGAGACCUUGGUUGGGUUUUGACAGUUCAGGUGGGAUUUGAAUCUGGUUUUUUUUGGUUAUUUUGGUUCUUUUACACCCCUUGAGACGCCUUUGCAUGGUUCAUUUGUUGGAUAGACAGCAUCUCAGUGGAUGGCUUUUGGCUGACAUGAUCACCUGGUGCAGGCUAUAAUUUUUCCUUUCUCAGCAGCUCAUAUAUGACCAACAUUAGGUACCUGUAGCAGGACUUAAAUUGGAAGGUCCACUGUCUUGGAUGCAACCUUUUGCUGUCGUGUCUUUAAGGUGCAGAAAAUUACAAGAUCCCUUGCGAGAUGAUUAAGCGGCAUAUCUGAGCCUCCGUUUUCUUCUCCUACUUUCUUUUUAGCUAUUAGGAUUUGGUGCUACAUUCUUUAUUUUUCCUUUUUUUUCUUUUCCUCCUCUGACCUUCUUACUGCAUGUAGAACCUAGGUGGGUUGUUUUCAAAUAUUCCUUAUCUACUUCCUGAAACGUGACACCAUACUUCAUGCUGGUUGAUGCUAAAUCAUUUAUCCUGUAUGUCUUCAGAUCUAAGGCAACGUGUUAGUCUUUCAGAUUUUGAAAAGAACUAAAAACGGAUUAAGAUUCGGAUGUUGGGCAUAUAUAUCUGUAUACUUCUAUGCUAAUUCAAAUGUGGGUAUCCAACAUACAUGUAUAUCUACUUUUCCAUUUCUCUUCUUGAUGCCUUGUUGUUGAUGCUGCUGCUGCUGUUGUUAUUAUUAUUAUUAUUUUUGUUAUUAUUAUGGUCGCAGUGGUGGUGGUGGAGGUGGGUGGAGUCUAUCGUCUCUCCACCCCUUCCUAGGGAAACCCACAAAACUUUGCUUUUUGGGGUUGACCAAGCCUUCAUUCUUGGUUCUGGUUAUAUACAUACAUACAAACAUUUUGUAUAUAGAGGAAAAAAGAAAAAGAAAGGAAAAAGAAAGCAACAAUAACAACGAUACCAAAUGAAGCCUUAAGGUUUCAGUAGUAGGUGCAUGGCAUGGUUAUUUUGGAAGGUUCUGAUUUUCUGAGAGCAACCAAUUUUCCAUGUGUUGUUUUGCUUAGACUUGCCGAAAUGGCUGAGAACAAACAAAUUGAAGCUUUCGCUGGGUAUCUUGGGAUGUCAUCAACCAUAAUACUGCUAUGGUAGUGAGACAUCACCAUUUACUCGACCAAAUUGGCCUGCGAGAUGAUUGCAAGUUUUGCAACAAUCAAGAAAGUUUGAGCCAGAAAUUGCCAGUAUUAUAUUUUUGAGGACCAAAUUGUCAUCUGCCUCAUAGUUUGAGCACCAAAAGUGAAAUUUAGCCUCAUUUUGUCUAACAAACCACAGAACAGGCAAUAAUUUUCCUAUUUCACCUACCUGUGGCAGCACUCAAUUGGAACUCAAUUGAAUGGUCUGCUGUUUUGCAGGCAAC